rnacentral:lncRNA from 1 species
CAUAGAACUAUCCUAGUUGACCACCGUCUAAGAGUGGUAAGGAGGGGGAGGCGAUGCGUAGAUGUAGUGCGGGGGUGGUGGAGGAGGGGACUUGUACUUGUAGGGCUUCUUGUAAGGGGGUGGUGGCGGAGAGUGAUAGAUUGGGUGGGGAAUGUAAGGAGGAUGAGGGUGAGGAAGAGGGUGCGGGUGGGGCAAAGGAUGGGGGUGAGGAAGAGGGUGUGGGUGUGGGUGGGGAAGAGGGUGGGGGUGUGGGUGUGGAAGAGGGUGUGGGUGGGGGUAUGGGUGGACAGGAGGUGGAGGCGACAGGUACUUGUAAGGCUUCUUAGGGGGUGGAGGAGGAGAGGGGUACACGUAGGGAGGGUGUGGGUGUGGAUGGGGGUGGGGCUGAGGGUGUGGGUGUGGGUGUGGAUGCGGGUGAGGGUAAGGGUGGACUGGUGGUGGUGGAGAUGGGUACUUGUAGGGAGGGUGAGGGUGAGGGUGAGGGUGGGGGUGUGGGUGGGGAUGGGGGUGAGGAUGGGGAUAAGGGUGCACUGGAGGUGGGGGAGAUGGGUAUUUGUAGGGCUUCUUGGGAGGAGGAGGUGGUGAGUGGUAGUAGUAAGGCUUCUUCGGAGGAGGUGGCGGUGGAGAGUGGUAGUAGUAUGGUUUCUUCUUCGGUGGAGGUGGGGGUGGUGAGUGGUAGUAAUAUGGUUUGGGUGGAGGUGGUGAAGGUGGCGGGGGAGAAUGGUAGUAGUAAGGCUUAGGUGGAGGUGGUGAGGGUGGUGGGGGAGAAUGGUAGUAGUACGGCUUAGGUGGAGGAGGUGAAGGUGGUGGGGGAGAGUGAUAGUAGUAUGGCUUCUUCUUGGGUGGGGGUGGUGGUGGUGAGUGAUAGUAGUACGGCUUAGGUGGAGGUGGUGAAGGAGGUGGUGGUGAGUGAUAAUAGUAUGGCUUAGGUGGAGGUGGUGAAGGAGGUGGUGGUGAGUGAUAGUAGUAUGGCUUAGGUGGAGGUGGUGAAGGUGGUGGUGGAGAGUGGUAGUAGUAUGGCUUCUUUUUGGGUGGUGGUGGUGGUGGUGAGUGGUAGUAGUAUGGCUUAGGUGGAGGUGGGGAAGGUGGUGGAGGAGAAUGGUAGUAAUAUGGCUUGGGUGGAGGAGGUGAAGGUGGUGGUGGAGAGUGGUAGUAGUAUGGUUUUUUUGGUGGAGGUGGUGAAGGAGGAGGAGGAGAGUGAUAAUAAUAGGGUUUCUUAGGUGGUGGAGGUGAUGAGUACAAGUAGUUAUCAGCUGAGAUUUGAGAAGGGAAGGUUAAAGACAGUAAUGAGAAUAGCAGAGUAAGUGUGGCGGAGGAGGCCAUUAGAGACCCCAUUGUUUUUCCCCUCAACCUCACUACAACGUGGGGUUUUGUUAUGCUUUUUCUCAACCAAAGAGCCACCCUUUAUAUAGAAUCUUUCUUUACCCCAACUAAUCUUUUUGGUAAAUUUCUUCUCAUGCAUGCGCAUUCCAAUCAUCUCUUCUCCUUUCUAAUAAAACAUAUAAAUUCCCAUAUAUAUUGACGUUGGCAAACAGAAAAAAGGCUUAAAUUAUGAAAAUGAUAUUUGUCCUUUUUGGGCAGUAAAUAUAAAUAGAUGAAGGGGAAUGUAAAAUGAUUUUGAAAUACUGAAACAUUAACUGGUUGGUUGUUUGAAAAGUAAAUGGAUGGCAUUGGAGACUUAAAAAAGUGUGGGACUGUAUGGUCCGUAGCAGCCUCAAUGAUUUUGAAGGAGUGUCUCUCUUUUUCUCUCUCUAAUCAAUUCAUAGAGGCUGCUUCUGUACACACUUUAGAGUGUGCACCACACCACGGCUUGCACAUGUUGCAUGCCAUUCUACAGUUCCUUUUUCGAUAAUACAAAAUUCCUUUUACUUUUUCCAUCUUUUAUUUCUUACCCUACUCUGCCCAUUUAAAUGCCACCCAAAUUCAUGUCUCCAUCUCUUUAAUUGCUAAUUUUACUUUUCUUCUCAAUUUUUUAAACAAACAACUGUGAUUUAUAAUUAACUUUUUGGUUGAAAAAAAGUGUAAAGGUCCCAACAAAGGUGGCUUCUUCUCCUUAAUGGGAUACUCUGACGUUAAUUGAGUUAAUGAAAACAUUAAUAGUGAAUGGUUGGUGUAACCCAAAUUACGUACAACGUUGGUUAUGAAUAAAGGUUCAUUCGGUGUAAUAUUGUAAGUAGUUUUAGUAUGACUAUAUAGUUAAAAUAAAAAUUUAAUCGAAGCUAAAAUGGAAAACACUCAUUCCCAUUUGUAUCUAAAUUUAGUUAUGAAUGAGUUAAACAUUGUUUAAUCUGGCCAAGAGAUUUUUUGGUUAACGGAAUUUAAAUAAAUUAUCGAAAAUGGGAAGAGUUAAACAAAGGGAAAGGAAGAAAAGUAGAGAUAGUAUAACCUACAAAUUUCAUGCUCUUAUUUUAGUAACUUUCUAUACAAGUUACCAUUUGUCACAUGUUCGAAAGGGUUGGUAAGUUUCUAACUUGUGUUUCAACGUCUCCUAAAAUAGUAAGAUCCAUUCAUAGCUACAUAGAUAGGUAUCUUAUACCUAAGUAUCAUUACAUCACUACUUAUGUAUGCAUAACCUAAAAUAUAAAAGAGACAGAUAUUGGUACACUAUAUUUUUAAAAUUAUUAUUGACUAAAGAUUUAGCAGUACAUAUAUAAAAGCAACCGCAGACAGAAGAGAAACUAGACAAGUUUUAUUCAUAAGAGUUAAAGAAUUUAUAAUUCACCGUCACUGUGUAUUAUCAUAUGAAAUCGAUUAAUAAAUAAAAUAAGAAAAGCAUAAUAAUAUGUAUGAUAGAAAAGGAAGGGUGAAGAAAAUAUUUAGCUAUCAGAUCCAGACUGGCCAUGUAUAUUUGACCAUUCAUGAUCUCAUAGAUGUCACAUUCCCAUUGACUGAAUGUAUUUUUCCAUAUGUAUGAAUGCGACAUGCACAGAUAGCACUGUGUCUCAGCAACAUCUCAUUGAUAUUUAACUUGUAAUAUAUUUCACACACAUUGUUUUUCUUUGUGACAAUGAGCAACAGUUUAAAGUUAUAGUAAGUUUGAUUUCGUGCAAUUUUUAGUGCAAAAAAUAUCAGAGAUAGUAGAACAAGAAAACAGGCAAACACCAGCUACUUCACUACUGUCUUGCGGUAAAAUUCCUUUACUUGAUCAUCAAGUGAAAGUGACUGCACAACGCAUAUUUUUUAAAUUAUUUUCAUUUUGAAACGAGAUUCUUCGUGUGAAAAGACAAAAUGAGAAUCUACUAUACAUGUUUAUUUUAAUACGUGCGAAAAAAAAAAUUAUUUCAAACAAUUAAAUACAUUAGGGGAUAGUGAUUUCUUAUCAAUUCAAGUAAUUCUUUUUUCUAAUAGCUCCAAACACAGUUUUAAAAUGUAAAACAUAAUUUAAAAAGAUUCCAGAGAAGAUUUUUUUUAUCAGCUAAAAAACAUAUAUAGUUAAGCAGAACUAUUUACUAAAGAAUUUUGGUUGAAAAUUUCACUGAACAAUGUACUAAGCAGAAGUAAUUAACAAUUAAAACGUGUUGUUAAAAUUAAAAUACAAAAGAAUUAUUAUUAUUUUUUUGGUAUCCUACGUAGCAAAGCCUGAAAGGAUUAGAGAGAUCUACCUAGUUUGGUAAAAGUUUGAAGGAUAUGUACAUGAAAUGAUGAUUGGGUGAUUUGGGGGAGGACUUUAGAGAGUGUAUUCAAGAAAGUUGGUCCAUUAUAGUCUAUAGUGGCAACAUGCAUGCAUAUACAUGAUGAAGAUGAAAAAGUAUAAAUAAUAUUUAUAGGGUAAAUGAUUGAUUAUUUUAAUAAUAAUAAGUAAUGGAAAAAUAGAAUAAAAAAAUUGGUAGGGUUGGGGAAACUUGAUUGGGGGUGUCUGGGAAGAUGGAAGUAUAGUCCAGUUUGAAUAACCUUUUUACAGCUAAAUUGUAACGUGUGGACACCAUGCAUGCAGCUCAAAUUCUGAUACAAUCAUAAAAAAAUAUUACAUCACAUGCUCACUUCAAAGGUAAACCCCUUUUUAUAUUUAACAAAUUCAAUUUAUCAUUUCACUAAACAAUUAUUCCCAACUUGUAAUCAAAAUUAAAUCCGAAUCUUCAAGUCUAUGUAUAUUUAAAUUUUUAUUUUUAUCGUGUUAACAAUAAAAGGAUUAUUUUUACAAGUAGAUUUCAUGUAUAUUUGCGAAUAUUCUGAAUAAUAAUGCGCAAGAACUUGUUAUUAAUUUAUGGAUUAUAUAUGUAUGGCAUGUGGGUUCAUAUAGACAGCCAAUAUUUACUUUAUAUAUCACAAACUUUAUACAUUAUGAGAUAAGACAUAUUUGUCCCUGUAUUAUGUACUAUUUUAAUAUUUUAAACUAAUGGUUUAGAAUUUGAAAAACCAAAAGUGUUCCUUGUAAUUUUGUACUCUUUAAUUAGGUGGACAGCAUUUCAUUAAUCACCUUUUGCAUGCAAUUUUUUCCUUUAUUUACAUCAUGGGUAGACAAUCAGGUUUUAGUAAAUAAUUCUACAAUCUUUAAAGAAAUAGAAAAAAAAAUAUAUUUACAUUUUAAAUUCUAAAACUAUAAGUAAAAAUGUAAUGCGACAUAAAUACUAGGGUUUUGUAAUUACAUAAAGAAUUUCAGUUUGUCUUCAUUUAGAUUCCACUCCUCUCUUUUAAUUAUGUCUAUUUUUAAAAAUAAAAGACUGGUAUGAUAUUAAUUUAAAAUUUAGAUUUCAAACAACGUAAAAUGAAAUAUUUCAAGCACAAUUUUUUACAUAUACUUUUUACAAAUAAAUACAUCUAUCCUGAGUUAGAAAUGUUGUUAAACUUUCUUACUCAAGCAUUACAAUUAAUCUUUCUUACUCAAGCAUUGCAAUUACUAACCCCAACAGGAAAUGUCAAAUUUAAUAUAUAUAAAAGCUAAUGAGAUGUAUAUUAAUGAUUAAAGCAAGAGAUUUUGAUUUGCCAUGAUAUCUAAAAGAAAAAAAAAAAGACUAGGAUGAAAGUAUGAGCAUUCAAAGUACUAAAAUAAUAUUAAACAAUGUGAACAAAACAAAUAUGCAUUAUUAUAUCACUAUUUAGCACUUGACUAAAAUAAUACAUUAUAAAUGGAGUGUGACAAAUUUUGAUGCAUUCAUUGAACACCGUUGGAUGAGAGCUGCCUCAUUAAAUUAAUUGUGGCUAUUGGAUUAAUUUAAGGAUGCAAAGAGUGAGUUGAAAAAUCAAACACACUAGAUCAAAGUGCACCAAAUUAAAAUCCUUAUUUAACUGUAUUCAUGUGGAAGCAAGAAAAAAAUAAACAAUUCAAUAGACAAAAAGAUAAUGUGUUGCCUUCAACUUUUUUAAGAAAAACGAAAUGACAAUAAUAUCAUCUUUUUUAAGUUACCGACACAAAAAGAUUACCAUGAGAUGGAGUUCACAUCUUGAACAUGGACCAUCAGGAUCAUGGUGAUGGAGUGGAUCAGACGGCUAGUGUUUCACAUGUAGAGAGAUCAAAAUGUCCAUUAUUCACUGCAAGAUAGGUACAUAAUCGUGUAUAUAAAAAUCCAUAAACAAAAGUCAAAGUAGGUUCACAUCAUGGUGUUGUUAUUCUGGUCCCUAGUGUAUGGUAUCUUCCUAGCUUCUCUACUUUGAAGAGUCACCACACUUCAAAACAAAACAAAACCCAAAACUAUUGAUAGAAAAAUCAAAGGUGACAGAUAUUAUUAACAAGCUGUAUUACACUUAAGUUAAUUAGUAAGUCUCUUAAUUAAUUAAAUUGUUAGAUAUUCAAGACCAUUAAAAAAAAUAAUAAAGAUAUCAUUAUCUUGUUGGAAUAAUUCUCAUUCUGUAAAUCCCCUUAUACGUGAUGAAGCCAUGAAGGCAUGACAUUGGUGAUGUGGACCACAUUUUCAGUAUAAGAAUUAAAUCUCUUUCUGAUUUUCCUCAUUGUAAAGAAUCCAAAGACCUUUGUCAUAAGAUUCCACUGCUUUGUUAGCUUUGACAACUACAAUUUCAAUGCAUGGCUACUUUUGUACAACUUUCUUCAAUUCAUCCUUAAUCUCCGUAACUACUUAAUUUUGCAAAUAAACCUUACUAAGUACAUUAUAUUAAUACUAAACCAUGCCAUAUGAGUGCAUUACAUUAAUUAAUACCAAGUCAUUGACAGAUCAACAAUAACUGCCACAAAAGCCUAGUCACCAGACGUGUAGUUUUGCAUAUAUGAAGUUAAUGAAAGAUAUGUAUAAUUACAAAGGAAAAAGUCUUUUUAACAACUCUUUUUUAACAACUUUUACGUGGCAGUCUAUGAUUGGUCCGUUUCAAAUAUUUUUUUAAACAUAAAUUUAAACAUACCAAUAAAAUGAUGACACGUGUCCUGUUAUCAAAAAAUUGUUAAAAAAGAGUUGUCAAAAUAUCAUUGUCCAGUUGCUAAAGUAAAGGAAACAAAAGUAAUGGAGCUUUGGGUGCAAUCAUGUGCAUGUUGUAUACUUAAGCAUCUUACCUUGUUAUCAUUACUCUGACCCAAAAUCAAUCAAUUUGCUUUCUAUAAAAAACAAGCAUCUUACCUUUUAAUGAAAUAUUAAAUACCCAUGAUAUUAAAAGCAUGUAAAUAAUUUGUAACACUUUCAAAGGUUCAAACAUUGAACUUUUAGGACAUCCUAUUUGAGGUUCUAACAUUGUUUUCUUAUGUGUGAGAUCCAUUGCAUUGUAUUGUCAUCUCUAUAUUUCAAAAGCCUGACAAUUUUUACUGUUUAUAUCAGUUCCAUGAAAAACAGUGAUUAUGUUCAUUCAGAAUUGCAUUUAAUUGGGAAGAUAAGAAAGAGUGGUAGAAGAAGUGAAGAAGACCCCACUGUAAUUGCCUCAGGCAAAGCAGAGAGAUUGAUCAGGAAUGAUGAUUUUUCUUUGUUUUUUUAUUGAUUACUUGCAGAGAGAGAGCGCCUAACAUUAUACUUAUUCUAGAGAAAUGAAGAAGAAAAGUCAGCUACCUACUACACAAAUGAUGCCAAAGAAUGAUAGAGAUUGAGUGAACCAACACUACCUACUUUUAUUAACUAUAAAAAUCAAAACUUUUAAUUAGUUCUUUUCAGUACCACUACUAUUAUUUUCUCUUUAAUUAACAAAUUAUUCAAGCUGCACAAAAUACUCUAAAAUCUAACCAAAAGUUUUAUGAUGUUUAAAAAUAACUCAGAAACUAAAGUAAAAUAUAAUUUAUGAAGUAAAUUUGGCAUGCUUUAAAUAGUAAACUAGCUUCAUAUUGGAACACAUCAUUCAAUCAAAUUUCAACUUUCAAAAGCUGAUGGUUUAUCGGGUAACUUUGCGUGAAACUUGUUAAGAAAACAAAAACAAUGACAGCAAAAUGACGUGAAUAACCUGUUUAUUUUCUGACAGGAGCAGUAAUUGCUUUUACUUUUAAAAUAUUCAUUUUUUUAACUUUUCUUAUAUGUACGUAGAUGAAAGGAAAGAGGUGGACCCCACCUGCCGACACAUACAAUACUGUUUAAGGGAAUGAAGACUUAUAGGUCAAAGUGAAGUUACCUAAACAGAUUAAAGUUUUUGGUAAAUUAGAUCAUUUUUACUUUAUAUUUAUAUAAUUUAUUUAGAAUUUUCAUAUUAUUUAUAUUUUCAUAAAGUCAAGUAAAUGAUCAAAUUUACUUUGUGAAGUUAACUUUUCAAAAUUAUUCUUGUUUGUUUAGUCUUCUUGAACUCUUUACUUCUGUCAUUAAUAAUGUGAUGUUUUAUUAUCUUGAAGAUAUAUUUUCAUUUACACUAUUAUUAAGAACAAGAAAAAAAAUUCUUGUGAUUUGUAUCUAUUUGACGUAUCAGACCAGAGAGAUCAACCUAAAAGAAUUUAUUAAGAAAAAAUUAUAAUUUAGUCAAUUUUAAUUUAUACUUGUACCAAAAGAGGCAUGUGAACCUCAUGCCUACUAGUAUUAGCUAUGUUUGGAUGUAACUGUUAUUAUAUAAUUCCUCCUUAAUCAUUUUGGAAUAACUUGAUUAGUUAUAUUUUUCUAGUUGAGAAUUUCUCAACAUAUUGCAAUUACCUAGGGUUAAUUAAUUAUUAUAAUUAUGGAUUGAUAUAGAACCAAUAACGGUAAUGAUAUGAAUAAGAAAGGGUCAUUGGGUCCUAGUUAGAGGCAACCAGACCCAUCAGACUAAGGGUACAUGAUUUUGGAAGGGAUUUUUAUAAAGUCAGAUUCUUCAAUUGCUAAUUUUUCACCCUCUCUCUAAAAACCCUUAUCCUAAAUAUUGCUCUGUCUUAUCUCUAAAAUACCACUCUGUUGAAUCGUCCAAUCUUUGGUAAAGAAGGUACAUAAACACUCCUAAUGUAGAGGGUUUCAUUCUGAACCGAUUACUUUCUCCGUCUCCUUCCGGUAAAUGGUUCUCCUGUUUCUUCCGUUAUUUUCGAAACCUAGGGCUUGGGUUUUACUGAUCUCAUGCAGUUAGAACCUUCCCUUCUUUGAUUUCUAUUAUAUUCUAGCUUUAAGAGUUGUUUUCCAUCGUCUCUUUGAGAGCCUUUCUUUGUUGGUAGGAUAGAGAAACCUUAAAAACCUGAGUUGGCACAUCCCUGAUCAUAGAGCAGCCCUGGCCUGAUCCAGUUAGUUGUGACUAGUCAUAUGUGCUGGCACCAAAGGUGAGUCUGAUGCGUUCAGAAAUCUAGGUCCUCUCCGGUGACCAAUUGGGGUAUAAGGAGGGUUGGGGGAAGGUAAGAUCUCCACUCUAAUAACAAUUAGAUAAACAGUUUAAUAAUUGGGAAACAUUUUAGGUUGGUUAAGGGGAAGUAAGGAGAGCUAACUCUAUUUUGUUUUGUUUGGUGUGUUUGAUGUGUGAUUUACUAACUAAACCGAGCUGAAUAAUGUUUAAAAAUCAUAAUUUACAGUAUUCAUAAUUUAUGUACAUUUGCUAUUAGAUAUGAAAGAAAAAUUGGUUCCAAAAGAAAUGCCUUUUUCUUUCUUUAGAAACAUUUGUAUAUGAUUGUAUCUAUAUUCUAUUGUUACAAACGUUUCUUUUUAUUUACAAAUUUAGACAAUCACAACUAAAUUUUAAAAUUGUCCUGAAGAGUCUCAAUAGUUCUUCCUUAAUUUUUGCCAUGUCUUUAAAUGUAUGUUAUUAUAAAUUUAAAUUAUGUUAAUGUUUUAUAUGCAUAUUAUAUUUUGAAUUUCAUAUUUAUUAGGACAUUUCAGAUUUAAUAAUAAUAAUAAUAUAUUUUGGAAUAAGUGAUAAUAAAUUGAAUAAUUAUAUUGGUAAUGAGUAUUGUGUUAUAAGUCUUGUGUUGGAUAAGUAAUACAUCUUGUGGAGAUUAUGUAUAUGUUGAUUGUGGCAAAAAUAUAUGAUUACAAAGUGUAAAAGUACGAUUAAAGUGGUAAACCAAGUUUCAUCUAUGUAGAAUCUCUUGGUGAGAUUCUUAGUGUUUUAGAAUGAAAGUAGGAGUUCAGUCUUGUGGGUCUUCUUGACGCUCCAAUGGCCUUUCUUCUCAUGUAGAGAGGAUUAGACUGUGUGGUGAGGAGUAGCAGGAGGUCUUAGUCUUGGAGGCUUCCAUCAUGCUCCAGAGCGCGGAACAGUCUAACCUCGUGAGUGUGGCAGGGCGGGAGAGCCCAAGGCGGUAGAGCCUAAGUAUCACAAGCCACCACGGGUGCAUGACCCACCAUAGCUCGACUAUCAUUCUAAAGUCCGGACGAGUCAAGUCUAGUAUUUAACAUGAUAGGAUGAAUGUUUUAUCUUGUUUGCUUUAAAUCAAUAUCUUGUAUGUACAUACUCUUAAUUGUAUGCUUUUUAUAUAAUUAGCUCACCCUUGCAAUUGCUUGUGUUUGUGCCAUGUUUGCGUUUGUUUCCCUUGCGAUAAUCAUCCACUUGUAUGGGAGCAGAUGGCGAGGAGAUACUUUGGAAACAACUCUUGAUGGAAAGGAAAUGUUGCUGCCUAGUUCUCUAGGUUUUAAUUAGAAAUUUUGUCAUGUUCUAAGUUUUAAAUUCUCUGUAUUUUAAGGGAGAAACUCUAGUAUUCCAAGUUUAUGUAUUAUAUUGUUUAAGGAUGACUGUAAUCUUAUUACUCUUAACUGCUUUCUAGUAUUAUUCAUGGUGACUCCUUUAUUAUAUUAUAUAUCUUUAUAAUAUAUAUAAUUGGGAUGUCACAAUAACUAUAUUUUGUUAAAAUUAAAUAAUAAUAAUAAACAAUCAAAUUAUUUAUUUUUUAAUAUAUUUUAAAAAAAUAUAUAUUACUUUAGUUUUAAUUUGUAUAAAAAUAUAUUAAUCAUUUAAAACUAAUUAAUAAUUUUUUAGUAUAUAAUUUGUAUUAUAUAACCUUCCCUCUAACCGUGAAUUAAAAGAAAUAUGAUUAAUUAAAAGAUAUUGAAUAGUAUAAUAUUUGGUGUAAAUAAGUGAAAAUAAAAGAAAACUUUAUCUUAUUUUAUUUUUCUUCAACCAAAUAAUUUAAUAAUUUAUUUUUUACUUUUUAUUUUCUUUGAUGCAUUUCUAAAACUAAUUCACAUGCGAUCGUAAUAUAACUUAAAGUUUAUAAUCUGCUGAUUGUUUACAAGUCAGUUAAAAUAAAUCAUGAGUUAUUAGCCAUCGUUUAAGUUAAAAGUGCACUGAUUUAUAUAUUUUAGACGUAGAAAUCAAAAGAGACAAAACAUAAUUUAUAUACUUAACGACCCAAUACGAUCCAAAAAAAGUGGUAAGAAAAAAAGUUUAAGUUAUGUUUAUAUUGUUGCAAUAUCAAAAAAUGAAGUAUUUGUUAUAAAUCCAUAAAAAACGUAAUAUAUGUAAAAUGUUCUUAUACAUACACCAAAUAUAUCUCAUUCCUAGUAAUAAAUUACUAUUGCAAUAACUCUUAAAUAAGAUAUGAGUGAAAAGAAAACAAUAAAUUAAAAUAAAUAAUGUGACAAUUUAUACCAGUAUAUAUUAUUCUUAACCAAUUCAAUAAUUAACACCAAAUGCUAAUUUAACAAAAUUAACGGGUGAAUUAAAAACUCUUACUAUUUAAAUCAUUAUAGUAAAAAAAACUGUAAUUAAAAAUAUUUUAUAUUCCAUUGUCUUGCAUAAAAUUUAGUGCUAUAUACACCUUUAAAAAUGACAAAUCCAGAAUAAUUUAGUUAUAUUAUUAUUGUUAUAAAAAUCUUACAAUAUUAGUGGGAGCAAUCGGAACGAAAACAUGUGAAAUAAUAAAUAAACCUAUAAAAAUCACAUCAUAGAAUGCAAAACUAUAUCAUAUGGGAAUUUCUUGUACAAAAUUUACAGAAUGAAUAAUUUUUAGCACCACGUGUGCAUAUAUAACAGAUCAUAUGCUAGCACAAAACAAACUAUACGGCUAAUUAUCUACAAAUUCAUAGCCACGGUUUCUUUUGCCUUUAUGUAGUUGUAUCAAAGGAUUUCUUUUAAGUAAAUAACCCUUCAGAAAAAUAGUUUCAUAAAAAAAAAGUCAUUAAUAAUAGCAUAAUGGUACUUUUUAUUUAUAAAAGUAUUUUAAGCACACUACAAUUCAAACUUUAUAAAUCAUAAAUUUGGAGGAGUUGUUUCUACAUUACAUACUACUAUUUAAGAUAAGCUUUCUUUAGUUUUUCAUAAAUAUCUUAAAAGACAUAUCAAUAACGAUUUCUAAUUGAGUGAUAAUAUAGAUAACUUUAUUUAACACAAUAUAAUUAAACUCUUGCUACAUCUACCUAUUCGAUGAAAGGUGAAGGCUGUAGAAGUGGAAACACAAUUUCAAGAUAAUCCAAGUAGCUAUCACAUUCCCAGUCUUCUGAAUUAGAGCCUUGGCCCCAUAACCCUGAAGCUAAUAACAGUUCUCACAAACACGACCAACAUAGCAAGAUAAUAUUAAAAAUAAAAACCUUUAUUUGAGCAAAAAAAAUAAAAAACGCUAAUCAGGUUCAAACUAAAAUUAUCAAUAUUUAUACAACACAGUAAAUUGACUAGGCCCAUCCCAAAAAUCUCCAUGUUAGAUUUGCUCAAAAUGCAAUUGUAAUUUGAUCUCAGCCAGUUAAAAUACUAUGUGCACCUAGGGAGCUCAAUUAAUUAGGAUUGUAGCCAGGAGGGAGAGACUAAAUAUGCAGGUGAACAUCAACUCUGAACAUUCUCACCUCAGAACAGUAGUAUGGGAUAAAGAAAAGUAGGACAUUAUGACCAGCAUAAAACCUGGGUGAACUAAUUCAUCACCUCUUGCCACGAGGUCCAGGUCCGGAUCUGGGACCGGGAAACCGAGAAAACUGAAGCCGCAAGUGGCUAGACUCAGGAUUGAGUUCAUCAACUUUAUAACCUGUGUCAUCACACCACAAUGUCAGCAAACACUGAAAUUUGGGUACAUAAUUAUUUGAAAAAAAUCAUUGACUACUGAGUUCAAAUCCUACAAUACUGACUCACUGAGAUCACAAGGAACAACGCCACUAGCUUGAAGACAUAACUUAAUCUCAGAUCAAGUUUCUACUAUAAUUUUUAUUUACCAUUAGAUUCUCCUUUCCAAUAAUGACCAACUUCCAUAAAUUGUGUGGAGGAAUUUUUUAAUAGUUCAACUUGUCACCAUUUUAAUUGGAGAACUUAAUGACAAUGAUGUAAGAAACGUUAUUAAAAUUUUGUACACAAGUAUGCUGACCACUUGAACAGCAGCUGACUAUGUGGCAGAACAUUGGGACUUUACGUAUCAUAAAAAAAAAAAAAAUAUCUUCAUGUUAAAAUUAGACACACGAGAUGGGUGAUUGCAUUUUCCAAAGUGAUGAUAACAACAUGAAAACAAAUAUUAAUAGUAUCUCCGUAUGUGUUCAUUUUAUGUACUUUGGGAAUGAAAGAGGAUAACAAAUGGGAACAAGGAAGUUGGAAAUCAUUUAUAACGUGUUCACCACUUCAGUUCUAUGAAGUAACCAGUUUGAAUAAACCACUAAGUCACAGAUAACUUUCAUAAAGAUAUUCAAUUUAACAGUGUUUACCAAUUUCCCAUUUUAAAUGCUCAGUUAAAUACAAUAUACAGUAAUAUCAUAAUUAGAUAAGCACAUCAUACUCUAACACUUGUUCAUAUGGAAUUUUAUUGAUAAAUUUAGUGCAACUUUAAAAUGUUUUACCCCGUUACAAUUCAAAAUUUUAUAACAAAACAUUAAGUUUAUUUGGUUACAUUUUCAAAUGUGACUUAUUGCACUCUUUACGCUAUUUUCAGAAGCUCACGGUUACAACUUCAAAUUCUAAAUGUCAUUCCUCCCUUUUCAACGAGUUCCCAAACACUGACAGAAUUCAGGAACAUAAUAGCCACAUAUUGGUUCAGAAGGCCAAAAUACAAGGUAAUUCUACAAUUUUCACAACCUCCAUCAAGUCCCCUUUUAUGAGGAGAUGAUUUCCUAUACGAUGACUCGACAAUCAAACAUGAAAUUAAUUUCAUUUUAUCUCAGCAGGUAACAAGAAGUGAUACCUUGCAGUGCACUCAGAGCAGUUGCUGCACAAGCCGGAUUUGCAAAAUCCACAAAACAAAGGAUUAGAGGAUCUCCUCCACGCUGCAAGAAGCAUGCAUUUCAGCAUAAAGGAUAUGAUAUUUCAUUCAAUCAGCAGAACAACGAGAUACAAAAUAAUAGAUGGCAAACAGACAACUUACGUGUUUCGAUUCUUUGCUCACAAGUCUUACUUCUCUAUAUCCAACAAAAGGGCGAAAAAUAUCUUAAAAUGGCGUUAAGGAAUUUGAAAAGCUAUAAUAGAAAAAGGAAGCUUACAAGACAGUUGACAGUAUGAUAAUACAAUUACUAAACAUUAUGGGAGGGAAAAAGGAUACGAGCCACUUCCCUUCUCGUGCUAUCAGAUGGGAGACCUUCAACAUAUAAAGUACUGGAUGCAUCUGGCGGUAGAGGUACAGUCUCUGGUCCAGGCAUGGAAGCUGUGUCUACUGGUAACUGACCACCAUAAUUGACAUUCCGUCCAUUUCGUGCAAGAUCAUGACCACCACCAGGAUGCCCCAUAACACCAGGAUCAGUUAGCGAAUGGCCUGGCAAUCCACCAACACCCCUUGCCAAUCCAACACCACCAAUUGCACUGGCUUCCCCAGAAUUAAACGAAGUAAGCUGCUUUUAUCAACCAAAAAGAAGUUUUAAUCAAACAAGCUGUGAAAGCACAUCAUCACAUAUUAUGUAAAAAGAACAGGCUAAUAUACCCCUGCACUUUGAAGGUAGCGGUCAUAUGCAGAUCCAAGUGUUUUAGUGUCCUUUAGCAUUCGGUGACCAGUAUGGUCAUCAUUUCGAGCAAUAUAAUUAUGCAUCUCAUUGCCUCCCGAAGUCAGACCAGAAGGUGACAUAUCUGCAAUGUAAAAGAAUCUAGCCUUUAUAACUCUAGUAAAACAAACAGAAGCUGAAUACACUGAAUUAGAGAAGUUUUGAUCAUAUGCAAUGUUGUAUACCAUAGCCAUCCCUCCAAUGCUAACCACUAACAGUACAAAAAACAUCUAGUAGCAAAUAUGCCAGAUGCUGGCAAAACACAGGUAACUAAACAGCACAUGACCCAUAUUUAGUGCUCAUAAUAAUACAAAGAGUAGAGUGCACACACAAACAUGUUUUUUUGUCACCUAUCGAACUAGCAGUAAUCAGAUCCUUACACACCAAGUAGCAUAAAAAGUCAACCAUAGUUACUUGACUAGUUGUAUUAGCUUAACCACUCAAACUAUAGUUCCAGGAGACUGCUAACACACUAAUACUUUCACAACUCUAAGCAGUUAACUGGCAUGUACUAUCCACCAUGUUUGGUCUUCUUCCUUGUAAGAGAAGUCAAUUCAUUUAGUUAAUAUUCUCUUUCAUUGUCUCUCCAUCUCUAUAGCGCUCACUACUAACUUUUGUCACGGGAUUGAGAGCUUUUCUUGGAUCUAUUUCCAUACCAUGGCUUUACCACUUAACCCAUUCCAGUCUUCAGAUCGAACAACAUCACUUGGUGGAUCAUCUACUCAACCCACUCUCCUGCUCAUGUCUCAUUCUCACACCCAAUUUCAACAUAACUUGAUGAAAGAAAUUUCCUACGUAGGCAACAGUAAGCACAGGCUAAGUAUUAUUAUGACCAUAAAAUUCCCAUACAAGUUAGGGAAGUUGUGCUUUCUGACAUGAAAGUUAGUUUUGUUUGAAGUAAGAUUGGAAGGAUCAAAUGCACUAUUCCAUGGCUACUUCACCAAAAGAAUAUCUUCUGACCAGAAAGUCAAUGGAUGCAAACAUUCCUAGCAGAUCUGAAAAUUUUCAGAAAUUACAUUUAUUUGCACUUGUGCUAAGGUGUGUCAAUUCAGAUCUCAAUUGAAACAAGAAAAUGAGCAAUUAAUUUCUGAGCAUCUGCCUUGAUUAAAUCCAUCAUCAAUUCCUUGAUCUAUCCAUCAAUGAUCCACUUUCAUCUUGUUACCUCAAUAAACACCAUAAUUGAUCCAUACGAGUAUUGACACAUAGCAUCUUGUUCGGGAAGCACAACUGGUAAGCAUCAGCAAUGCACUCUUUCAAAUGUAGCUCGAUUUUUCAAAGAGAGAGUGCUGCAGUUUCAAGCAUUCAUCACUCAGCACGACUGCCCUGGUCACCUUAUCUUCAAAAUGUUCCCCAGGAAGCUGUACUUCAUUAGGCUGUGUCAGAGAUCGUGAAGGUCAUGCAGAUUGGUGAUGCUCGAUUUCUUGUCAAUUAAGUUUGGUCAUGAUGCCACAAUUGCUAUCACUAAUUUGAUAAUAAAUUGUUCAAACAACUUGCUUAUUUACUUUCACCCAACCAACACAUACUACUCCGCACUGCAGUGCCAACCAUUGGGAUACACUCCAGCUUUGGCUCAAAACAAAAGUACAACUCACCUACUCCUGGUUUCCAUGGGGCACCACCUUUGGGAGCACUUUAAUUCCUGUUUACACUAAUUAACAAAUCCAACAGUACAAAGUCAUUCCAACCCAUUCAACUCCAAGCAUUUCCUAGCAAAGGUACACACUUCCACCUUUACUCAAACUGGAAAGGUUUUCCAUUCAAAUAUAGUUUCCAGAAUCAAGUCAAUCACCAUCUAACUACAGGAUCUGCAGAAUUUAUUCAAAAACUAGUCUUAUCAGGCAUGGCAAAGAUUUCGAUACACAAUGGAUAAGUAAGGGACAACUCUGCUUACUUUGACUUCCAUCCUUCCAUCUCACUUAUUUUGUCCAAUUCCGAAGGUGUUCUUGAUUCAAAUGGGCUCUAUCAAUUUCAUAACAUGUAAAUUACUUCCUCUUGUACUACAAGAGAACACACAUAUUAGACACAGACAAAACAGGAUUUUUCCCUUUUCCUCAAGUCUCAUUACAGUUUAUAUUUUUCAAUUAUGUUUUUCUGCUAUAAACUUAAUAUACAGAAUAAAAAAUGUAAAGGCUUCAAAAUGAAACAGCAAUCACUCUUUACUCAGAAUGCUCACUAAUGGGUCAACAUUAGAAAGACCCAAAAGUCAAAACCCAACAGUAGAAGUAAGGAUCCUUCAGAGAUGGAAGGUGCACCAGAGAAAGAGGCGUCUAACUGUCCUGCAUUAUGACAUGUUGUAUUGACUUCUUCAAAGAAGGAGAGUGAGACAUGUAUAUUUCACCAUGUCUAGCAUGUGAAAUAUAACAGGUAGGGGGCUGAGUUCCAUAGUGAUGCUCCUUAGGAAAUGUUACGAAUUUAUGAAAAUGGCAAAAGGAAAGAAUUACAAGUUCCAACAGAAGAGAUUUUGAUUGUUGAGAAAAGGAAAAUACAAGUCAGCACAACUGCAUGCACAAAUCAUUCUUACAUCAAUCCCUCGAGUUCUUGUAUAUGAAUCUCCUUACACAUGACACAUUGAUAAAUACGUUAGCAAAUGAAUCACCCCAACACUAACAAUAAAAGUCAUACUCUUGUAGAAUGAAUACUCAGAGUGAGUACAUAACACACUUUCUGUGUAUAGAUUGUCUUUUACUACAAACAAAAUAAUCAUCAAGAUAUAAUUCCUUCAAAGCUUCCUAUUUGCUAUAACAUAUACAGAAUAUUACAGCUCAAUGUUGUACAAAGGCUUCAUGUCAUGAUGACGAAAACAAUGACGAAACCAUAGCAAGAUGCAAUGUUGACGCAGAAUACUAAGAUGUUAUAUUUGAGUAAGAAACCAAACGUGAAAAUAGACAAACAUAAGAUCAUAAUUCAAAGAAAAGAAAACUAGAAAGCUCAAAAAAAGCUAGGAACAUUGAGAUUAGCCAAUAGAAUUUUCAAACACACCACAAACAGAAAUCUUGAAGAUGGAUUAGAAGUUCAAAAAUUGAGAAUGCAGUCCAAAGGGGAUGCUGAGCUUUGAAAAGGAAGGUCAUAUUGGUUUAAAAAGUCAAAGUAUGAGCAGAUUAUCAAGACAGUAGAAAUUAUGUUAAAAAAACACUAUGAUCUGGUCUAGAAAACACUCCUGCAUCCCAGAAGUUCACAAGUAAUUCCAGUAAUGGUCCUUUCCUCACAAUGUUGAAUGGAUUUUGGAAAUGGCCAGAGACACCUAGGAUCAUAUGAUCCUGAGUAUUACCAUAAGGCUACAAAACACACUGUACCAAAAGAAUUUUCAUAAAUAUAGGCAGGUUGCAAUAAUCAGCACAUAAAAUAGUAUAAGUAGUUUAAUUAAAUAAUAUAUUUUGGAUCAUUUUAUAGAUGAACUCCAUGAAUGCUGUCACAAGUCACUGUUCCACCCACUUGAAAAUCCCAGCCCAAAAGUAUACAGAAGGAUACUCCCGUGACACAAAUUGGGUCCCGGAAAAAUUUAAUCUUCAAGAGCUUCAAAUCAUAAAAGCACUUCUUUUAAGGUAUUAUAUCUCAAAGCCCAACAACACAUCCAUAUUCUAUGUUUGUCUAUGCACAUCCAAACUCAAUAACAUCACCACUUCGCUUUGUCAUCUCAAAAACGGAAAUAUAAAGAUUUAAAAACAAUAGAGACAAUCAAACAAUUGACCAAAUCCUAAACCAAUGAAACUAAAAAGGGGUGACUCCAAACCCUAACUUUGAAUUUUUAAAUAGAAAAGUGAAGGAGAGAUAGGAGAUAACCAUAUUCAGUACGAGGUCGUUUGAGCAUUGCGGUAGAGGGCAGAAGCGGCUGUUGCUGCUGCCGAUUCCAGGAGCCAUCAGUCAUGACGAGAGAAACGAUGGAUUUCGCAGAUCUGAUGAACAAUGGUUAUGAUUAUGACUACCGGGUGAAGAUUGAUGGAGAUCCAAUUACAAACCCUAAUUUGCUCAAUACCAAACCCUAGCCUUUGUCCUUCUACAAAAGAGACAAUUUUUUUAAGAGAACUCAGUUUUUUUUUUAAGGAGAUGGUGUGUGGGGUUACAAUUUAGUUUUUUCCAAAUUUCCAUUACCAUAUGCAAAUUUAAAAUGCAUACCACAUAAGAUAAGAUUAGAUGAAUUUAAUUUAAUAUAUAAUUUUAAUUCUAAUAUCUUUAGCUUGCACAAUAAAUUAAUCUUUUUAAGAGAAAUUGUAUUCUUCUCCCAUAAUUUAAUUUUUGUAAUUUUAUUUACUAUAAUAGAAAUGAGUAUCCUUCUAUUAAAAAUAUGAUAAAAAUAUGAAAUUAAUUUAUUAGAGUAGAAGACGAGGGAAUAUUUUCCCCAUAUUGGAUAAUGUUUCAAUGGUCAUUUUUCAUAAAGGAAAAUCUAUUUUUUUUUUCCACUGUAACAUCUUUUAUUUUAAUAUUAGUUAGAAAAAAAAAUAUUUUAUAAUUAUUAUCAUAAAAUAGAAACGGGAAAUAUAAUUUUUAUAAUUUUAGUUGUGACUUAAAAUAUGUUCCAAAAAUAACAUUGUAUAACCAUGAAAAUUGUUUAUAAUAACUCUAUAGUAUAAUUUAUACGGUUAAAAUAUUUGACUACUUUGAAUUGUAAUAUAAUCUUGUUAUUUUAAUUAUUUAUUAUUAUAAAAUUUAGAUGUAUAUAAAGAAAAAAUUUAGGGUUAAAUAUGUUUUUAAUUUCUAUGCUAUCAAGCGUUCUUGGUUUUUAGUCUCUAUUUGAAAGUAAGGUACAUUUUAGUCUUCCUCCUUAAGGAAAUUUUGAUUUUAGUCCUUCAAAACUAACAAUGUUAAAAACCAGCUGACGUAACUAAGAGCAGACUGACCCGAUUUUUUUUCUUGUAUUGUGUCAAUGUUUCUAACCUUUUCUUCCUCGUCUCUUCCUUCCGUCUUCCACUCAACCUCGUCUCUUUUUUCCUUCUAUCUUCUCACUUUUUCUUACGCUGAAAAUGGUGUAAUCUCAUAGGGUAGUUCUACUGUUAAUGUCAAUUUUGUAAAUGCAACAUGAGAGAAGGCAGAAGAGCUAGCUUCAGACGUUAAGAGUAUUACCCAGUUGUAAAAUGAAUAUGUUGUUCCCUUUGGGCUCUGGGAGGUACUUCCAUUCUCUUUUUGGUUAUUUAUUGACGUCGUUUUGUUUUGUUUUGGUUUAGAUUGUUGCAGUUUUAAAUUUAUUUUGUUGUUCUUGUUCUCAUUAUUUUUAGUUUUGAACUAGAUCAAUAUCUUUAAAAGCUUGAUAUGAAAACUACUAGAUAUAAUUACAAGUCUUUUGAGCUUUAGUAUCUAGAUAUCGAUGGCAACCGAGAUUCCAAUGGUGUAGGAAAGGAUUCAUUGUUAGGUCCUCCUUGCCCAAGGAAGAAACGGUCUAUUUUUGUUCAUCUCCUUCCUUUUCUUCUGAUUAUUUUUUUAGCAUAAUCAAACUGUGAAAAUAUACUUAUGAUUUCUUUUCUUUCAAAUGAUACAAAGUUAUAUAAAGGGAAGUUCUGACUUUUUUUUUUCUUUUCUACUGCAUAUUCUUUCUAUAUUUUCAAACCAAAAGGGCGUUUCUGAUUUUGUUGUAUCUUUUUUUUUUCUUAUGAGAAGAUUUAGUUGCAUUUGUCACUGUACCACUGGGCGAUUUAGUCAGUGUUGUUUUGUAGUAUUUUUGCUAAAAAGAAACGAGGUUGGUGGAAGAUGGAAAGAUGGAAGGAAAAGACGAGGGAGGAAAGGUGAGAAACACUGGAAAAAAAUCGUGUCAGUCUACUGUUAAUCACGUCAGCUGGUUUUUAACGGCAUUAGUUUUUGAGAACUAAAAUCAAAGUUUCCUUAAAGAGAAAGACUAAAAUGUACUUUAUUUUGAAAAAGCGACUAAAAAAAAACGCUUGAUAAUAUAGAGACUAAAAACAUAUUUAAAAAAAAUUAUUUUGUACCGUGCAUCCUAUAAUAUUAAUGUUAUACUAUAUAUAACCAGAUUUUUAAAUAGAAUGUAUAGUACUCAAAUUCAAAUAUAUUUUAAAAUAUUGAAUUGUUUUCUUUUCUCAAGUUGUAGUAGAAUAAUGUAUUUUAUAUUGAAGAAAAAUCUUCUUAUAAAAUAAUAAAAUGGUAUAAUUAUAAUAUUAUAAAUAUAUUUUUUUAUUUUCUAUACUAUAUGUAUUAAUUAAUCACUUAUUAAUUAAGCUUAAAUUAUAUUUUAGAAUGUUAUAUAUAUAUAUAUAUAUAUAUAUAUAUAUAUAUAUAUAUAUUUGUUAUUUAAGAUUUAAAAAAUUAGAGCAUCCAGCAACUAAGUACAAUGGUCUACACCCACCCAUUUAUUCUCUCCGAGGUAGACAAUUAAUAAUUUAAGUUGACUUAAACAAUGGAUGAAAUAUUUCAAAUCUUUAAGUUCAAGCAUCUACAUUAACUAUCAUUUUGGAAAAGUUUAAGGUCUUCAAAUGAGAAAAAAAAAACAUGUUCUUUUUACAUAGAUUUUAACUUAUUGUCAAGACAAUACAAAACGAAUUCCAGAAUGUAUAAAGUUUAGGUGCUUAACUUAAGUUGAUUAAAGUAUCAGAUAAAAAAAAUUACAAAACAAUUGACUUGCUGCAUAAAUGACAACCUUAAAUAAUUAAUGUCAACAAAUUUAACUAAUGUUAAUUCAGACACCAUUUAAACAAUCUCUCCCUUUUUACAUUAUCUUUAUGUGAACUCAAAUACUUAUCAUUACUUAUAAUCUUAAUAUUUGAUUGGUUGAACUUUUAUUAGAUGAAUAAAGAGUUCUAGUGUAGAAUUGUCUUUUAACGUCAUCCCUUAGACGUAAGUUAAGCGGUGACCCGUCAUAAACUAAUGACCGGUGACACUUUCGUAAAUAAGCUGUUAAUAUAGACGUCAGUUAAGAGGGGUCCUGACGACUAUAAUAUUAUAGACGUCGGGGCCCUCAUAACCGAUGUCUAUAGGUCCUCAUAUACGUCGGCUCCCCCGAAUAGAUGCCAAAACUAAACGAAAAAGUUAAUAAAAAAUAAUUUUUUAUUCUAUUUAGACGUCUGUUAUGGGGGGAACGACUUCUAAAGCACUUUAGAUGUCACUUAUUUAGGGAACCGACGUCUAAACCCUAAACCCAAAAAUUUAAAAACUCAUUUUUUGGCUCCAUAUAGAUGUCUGAUCUCGCCACUCCGACUUCUAAAGCAUUUUCGACGUCUGUUAUUGGGAGAACCAAUGUCUAAACCUUAAACCCAAAAAUUUAAAAUCUCAUUUUUUGGCUCCAUAUAGACAUCUGAUCCCGCCACUCCGACUUCUGAAGCAUUUUAGACGUCAGUUAUUGGGGAACCGACGCCCAAACCCUAAACUCAAAAAUUUAAAAAGUCACUUUUUGGCUCCAUAUAGACGUUUGAUCCCGCCACUCCGACUUCUAAAGCACUUUAGACGUCUGUUAUUGGGGGAGCCGACGUCUAAACCCUAAACCCAUAAAUUUAAAAAGUAACUUUUUUACUCCAUUUAGACGUCUAUUAUGGGGGGAACCGACUUCUAAAUCACUUUAGACGUCUGUUACAGGGGAAUCGACUUCUAAAUGUCGGCAUUAAAAUACCGUGAUCGCGAGACAGCCGUUACGCGCACUCAUUGUUCAUCAUCUUCGUCGCGUUUUCUCUCUACAAGUUACACUUUUCAGGUUCGUUUUCUCACUUUUGCGCCGUUUUAAAUUAGUUUUACUCCGAUUACAUCAUUAUUUGAUGCAUUAUCUUUCAUUUGAACCGAUUAAAAUGCAUUUUCGUUGGGUUUUGGUGCACUUAUUCUCGUGUCCUUGGGCGACGUUCUUUGGCAGCGAUUUCUUGCGUUUUGCACUCUCCAAUUCCCUCCACUACAUUUUUAAAACCAUAUAAUAAAAAAAAUAUACAAUACAUUCUCUUCAACUAAAAUAUAAAGUUGUAAACUUAAAUCACCAUCAGACCUAUAUGGAUCAAACGUCUAUAUAGGCGUCUGACCUAUAUAGGUUCGACGUCUAUAUAAACGUCAGACCUAAAGGGUCGGACGUCUCAUUAACGUCACCCAUAUAGACGUCGGACAGAGAUAAAUUGUUAAAAACCCAAAAUAACAGACGUCUAAAGUCCUUUCUGCAUGUUGUAAAAUAAGUAUUCUAUCACGUGUUAAGAGAGAGUUAAUAUUGACAUUUAUUUAAAUGUAAAACAUAUAAAUUGUAUUCAAUUGAAAGUUUGUAUUGUGGUUUAAGUGAAAGUUGUAACGAGUUAUGUUAUUGAUAGAUUAAUAUGAAACAUGUAAAAUAUACAUAUACUUAAUAAUGUUAAGUUGUAAGUAAUAUGAAACUAUGUACCUUGUGUUUUCAGAUUUUGUUGUGGUAUCACACAAACAUAAAUAGAGUUUGAAAAUGUGAUGAUAAGUACUUUUAAGCAUGACAUUUAUAAAGUAAUAAAAUAAGAUAUUUUCCUUUUUCUAAUGAAUUACUCACAAAUGAAAUUGUAUGUUGUGAGAAACUAGAAAAAGAUUAUUGUGUAACACUCCGGCAACUUACAGGGACUGUUGACUGCCCUUACACAUCACCAUGAGACUUUCCAAUGUGCUUUGCCCUCACUCGCACACUUUCUGGGAAAACUUCCCGAAAGGUCACCCAUCCCAGAAUUUCUCCAGGCUAAACACGCUUAACCAUGAAGUUCUUAUGGGUUAGACUUCCGAAAAGUAAAUACAUUUUGGUGAUAUGGGUAGCCAAAUCAAUUCCUUUAAGCUAUCCUUCAACUGUAUAGUCUCAUACCUAUACUUAACCAUGAAAUUCUUAUGGGUUAGGCUUCCAAAAAGUAAAUGCAUUUCGGUGAUAUGGGUAGCCAAAUCAAUUCCUUUAAGUCAUCCUUCAAUUGUAUAGUCCCAUACCUAUACAGUCUCCAAAUCCCUCUCAUUCCAGUGUAUGUUCGAUUCGUCCAUGUGUCCCUUCCACUAGAAGCCUGCCAGGAACUGCUCUUUGUCUGUGUCCCCUGCACCAUGCCUCUUGCACCGGCGAUCACUCUCUGCCCUUGUCAGUGUCCGAGUGUUACAUAUUGCAUCAUCAUUUUCUAUAACAUCUAAGCAAUUAUUGGUAUACUAUUGGUUUUUACCAUACAUGUUUUUUUUAUAGAUCAUGCCUUAGUUUAUAUUGAAACAUAUUUAUUGUAGUAAUACAUUUAUAUUAUAAUGAUUAAAACAUGUUAAUUAAAUGAUUUGUAGGUGAAUAGUGAAUGCUAAACAAAAAGUGACCGCUAUGAGUAUUUCGAAAAUAAUUAAAACUUUUGAUGCAAAAAGUUAAGGUUGGUGAUCACAUUUCUAUAUUUAAAUUGAUAUUUCCAAUUUUAUUAUGUACAAGAAAAAAGACAUGAGAAAGUGAAAAGAGACGUUAUGUAAAACAAUAUAUAUAUAUAUAUAUAUAUAUAUAUAUAUAUAUAUAUUUCUUUUACAAUUUCAUCAAUAUAUUAUAUUUCAUUCUCAGAAAGAUUUGAAUUACUCUUACAUUAAUUAGUCGGGAUAAAUGAGUUUUAUUAUUAUUAAAAUAAUAAGAUAAAACUUUUUCAUCAUGAACUCUUUUCACCCCAAGAUUAAACCUUUAACUAUAACGUCAUCAAAUUUUCAAAAUUUAUUAGAAAAAAUUUAUAUCUUACAAUAAUAAGAAUAAUAACAAAUUAAUAUUAUUUGAUGAAAGUAUAAAAGUUAAGAAAAAUUACGAGAAAAAGAAAAUAUUUAUUUAUCAAUAAAAUAAAAUGAAUGAAUAUUAAGAUUAAGAAAUAAUCUAUAAGCAAGCAACUAUUGGUAUACAAUUCUUUCUAUUAAUUAAACUGAAGAAAUUGAUAAUGCAUUUAAUUAAAUAAUUUUUUAAAUUGUUGUGAUUGUAGGUGGUAUGUUUGUUUAAUUGUUGAUGAUAUAUUUAUGUAUAUCCAAUAGUUGAACGAAAGAGAAUAGAAAUACUAAUUUAUAUUGUUAUUAUUUUUUAAUGAAAGUAUACAUGCUAUGUUAAUAGAUUUUUUUAAAAUAUUCGUAAUUUUGUAAACGGUUUGGUGAGUGUUGUUGCAUUAAUAUAUUGUUUGUACCUACAGCUAGGUGUUACACCAUCGACAUUAAUCAAUUUUUGUUACUAGGAAGCAAUCACAAAUACUCAUUAUCCUUUAUUGUUUCAUCUUAUACUUCCAAGACUUCAUCGUGCACCUCCGACUUUUUCAAAAGAUUUACUUUUAACUGUAAUAAAUAUCUUUUUUACUUUUCACUUUCUAUUUAAAGUAAUCUUAUAUCUUUAUCUUUGCAUGUUUUUAACAAAAUUUUAAUAUUUUUAUCUUUUAUUUAUAACUUUAUAACUAUUUAAUUUAAUUUAAAAACCAAAUAUUAUUUAAUAUAUUUUUGUAUUUUAAUAAUUAAUAAAAUAUAAUUUUUUUUCGUUUAAAAUAAAUUAUUAUUAAAUUUUAAAUAGAAAAUAAAAUUUGAGAAAAAGUUAUCGGAUAUACAAAAGUUUUUAAUAAAUUUGUUUAUUAUUUAUAAUUUAUUAAUUAUUUAAUUUAAUUUAAAAAUUUAAUAAUAUUUAAUAUAUUUUACAUUUAAAUAACAAUUAAAAUAUAAUUUAUAUUAUUGUAGUUGUAAUAUUAAAAAUAUUAAAAAACUAAUAAUAAUUAAAAAACAUAAAAUUUUUCGAAUCCUAUUUUAUUAAUUUAAUAUUUUAAUAUAAUUUAGUAUUUUUAUAUAUAUUAAAUAAAUUUUUAUAUAAUUGUUUUUAUUUUUAUUAAUUUUAUUUUAAUUAUUUUAAUUUUAAUUUUAAAAAUAUAAGUGUUAUAUAAAAAAUUAAAUUAUUUGGAAUUUUAAAUAAAAAAUAAAUUUUUUUAAAAAAAGGUCAUCGGAUAUUGAUAUCCGAUAACACAUUUAUCAGAUUUCCAAUUCCGACAGGAAUGUUUUCAAAUAUUUUUUAAUUUAUAUUUUAUUAAUUAUUUAAUUUAAUUUAAAAAUUUAAUUUAAUUUAAUAUAUUUUAUAUUUAAAUAAUUAUUAAAAUAUAAUUUAUAUUAUUAUGAUACUAAUAUUAAAAAAUUUAAAAUAAAAAUAAUAAUAAUUAAGAAAUAUAAAAAUUUUGAUAUCCUAUUUUAUUAACUUAAUAUUUUAAUAUUAUUUAACUAUAUUUAUAUAUUAAACUAGUUUUUAUAUAAUUAUUUUUAUUUUAACUUUUGUAAUGUACCUAUUAUAUAAAAAUUAAAUCAUUAUUGAAUUUCAAAUAAAAAAUAAAAUUAAAAAAAAAAGUUAUCGGAUAUUGAUAUCCGAUAACAUAUUGAUAUCCGAUAACAUGCUCAUCGGAUUUUUAAUUCCGAUAACAUAGUUAUCGGAUUUUCAAUUCCGAUAAUAAUGUUUAAAAAAAUUUGUUUCUUAUUUUUACUUUAUUAAUUAUUUAAUUUAUUUUAAAGACUUAAUAUUAUUAAUUUAUUUUAUUUUAAAUAACUAUUAAAAUAUAAUUUAUAUAAUUUUAGUACUAUUAUUAAAAAAUUAAAAUAAUAAUAAUUGGAAAAUCUAAAAAUUUCGAAAUUUGAUUUCUUGAUAUAAUAUAAUUUAAUAUACUUUAUUAUAUUAAAUCAGACUUUUUGUAAUUAUUUUUAUUUUUAUUACUUUUAUUUUAAUUAUUUUANUUUUAAUUUUAGUAAUAUAAUUAUUAUAAUAAUAUAAAUUAUAUUUUAAUAAUUAUUAAAAUAUGAAAAAAUAUUAAAUAAUAUUAGAUUUUUAAAUUAAAUUAAAGAGUUAUUAAAAUAUAAAUAAAAGACAGUUUUGAAAAAAAUUAAAAAAGGAUACAGAGUUAAAAAAUGUAGGAUUAUUCUGAAUAGAAAAAAAAAAGUAAAAAGUAUAUUUACAAAAGUUAAAAAAUAAAGUUUUGAAAAAGUUAUAAAUAUAAGAUUAGGUAUUGGAGGUGCAGGAUGAAACCCCUUACUUUAAAUAGAAAGUGAAAAAUAAAAAGAUAUUUACUAAAAUUAAAAGUAAAUUUUUAAAAAAGUUGGAGGUGCAGGAUGAAACCUUUGGAGGUGUAAGAUGAAACACCCUUAUCCUUUUGGCAUUGAGCUGAAAAGGUUUGGGUGUUGCUCCCUGCACCUCCCCAUUUGCUUCCUACACCUCCCCAUUCCCUUUAUACCCUUCAGUCUAUUUUUCUAUUCCUAUUUUAUCCUUUAGUAAAAGUUUAUAUUUAGGGUAAAAAUUUUAUGAUUUCAGUUCUUCACCCCCACACAACCUAUGCAUUCAUUCUUACUCUUUUUUACUCUUUCUUUUUAGAAAUUCUAUGAAAAUGUGGUGAGUGAGAAAUUGUUUUAAAAAGAUUGGUUGAAGAAUUUUCUUUGGAAUAACAAAGUUUAAUUUUGUGUAUGGUACAGUGAUGGUGCUCAGACCUUACAAGAUGAGGUACGUAACCUUGUAAACAAAUAUGGACAUUCAUCGCCGGAUGUCAACAUCCGUUUAAGACAAAAUGGAUGUUGAGAUCCGUUUGGCAUAAAUAUUUAUUUUUGUUUAUCUUUUAUUCAUCCACUUUGUGUCUACGUCUCCAUAUAUUAUAAUCAUAACACUGACAGAUUAACUCAUUACUCCAUUGCAUAUGCGCAAUCAUCAGAGGGAAAAAAGAUGAAACUCUCUGCAAAGGUAAUUUCAUUUCGUAUUCNCAGUGGAGUAUUGAUUAUACANGCUAUGAUGCUUUUCUAUACCUCAUUUCAGUCAAGACUGCUGCAUGUAUAUAUUAUAAAUACAAAUUCCUUUCGGUGGAAAUGUUUUUAAGAAUAAAUAAUAUACAUUUAUAUAUUAUCAUCUAUUAAAAAUNAUUAUUCCUAUAAUUUUUUUCCUUUGUAUGAUAAUUAUCUGGAAAAGUAUAUCAAAAAUGUUUUUUACUUACUGCCAUGAAAUUUUUUAUACGACAAAUACAUAUUAGAUUCUAAGGUAAUAUUAUUGCCUCAUCCAAUAAUUUUUUACAUAAACUUUGUAUAUCCACUGUAUAUUUUACCUUUCUAUCUCUCUUUCUUUACAGAUACAAAAUUAACUUUUCUAAUGAUUAAAAUAACAGUGGUAGAAAAAAAAUAAAGAAAAUAGAAGUAUUUGUAUUGAGAAUUGCAGUGUAGUUAAUGACUAAUAUUCCUACAAAGGAGUGUCAUUGAUAGAAAACCACAACAAAAAUAAAGAAAAUAGAAGUAUUUGUAUUGAGAAUUGGAAAGUCCUCUGUCCAAUUUAUGGUCGAGAUGGACUUCAAACUGGGCUUCUUACAAGACGAAAAUAGAAAUUAGAAGACAGAAACUUAGUAUCCAAUUCUGAGAAGAACCAGCUCCUUACUUUGAGAACCAGGACCCACUAUGAUGGCUUACAACUUGUCUGUAAGUUAUUAAACAUUGAAACAAAAUAACCCAUCAACAAAAUAAACAGCAUCAUACAAGAAUUAAACAGAUUUGAAGGCUGCAAUCUAACAUCCAUUAACCAAAAGAAUGGUAUCAAUAAAUAAAGCAUAGCAAGUAUUAACGCAUAACACAAUAAAUGUAGUAUUAUAUAAUAUUUUAGAAAUAAUACAUCAAAUUACCACUUACCAAACUCUUUAGUCUCUCUCGCUGAAAUAGCUCUCUAUCAAUUAGACGUCGACGGAUGUCGACAUCUGUUUCAAGGCCAAACGGAUGUCGACAUUCGUUCUGACCUGAGCAGUUCACACAGCAGCGACAAGAAGCACACACAACAGCGAUAACAUGCACAGUAAAAUCAGUAAAAUCAAAGGUGAUGGAUACUAAAGGAGAAAAAAAACGAACACACCUGGAUGGAAGUAAAAAGAACCACCACAGCAACAGACGCACCACCACGAACAAUAAGAACCCACCGCACGCACCGCACCACCGCACCCCGCACCACCUCACCUCACCACCACUCAGAGCAAAGGUGAAGUGUGAAGGAUGAAGGAGAAUGAUGAAAGUCAGAGGAAGAGAGGCAGAUGUAUUGGGGGGGGUGGCUGCGAGAGAGAAAAAAUGAAUAUUUAGGGUUUGGUAAAUAAAGUUAAAAAUAAAAAUGUCAAAAGGUUAAAAAGGUAAAAUAAAAGGAUAUUUUUGUAAUUAAAUAAAAAUUAUAAAAAAUUGGGGAGGUGGAGGAAGAAAAUGGGGAGGUGGAGGGAGUAACUCCCGAAAGGUUUUCAUGGAAUGGGCCGGAUGUACAUACCUCAAAAAGCCCAACACUAUUUCUAUACAUAAGUUUUGGACGCUUCUUUCUACACUCCACAUUUUUCUUUCUGCAUCUCUAAGCUUUUUCUUUUUUUCCCAUUUUAUCCUCUUUAUAACAACAAAUCGUAUAACAUGAUAUGGAAGAACUAAUUAGAUAAAAAAAAUUCAGGAGAUGUAUUGUGAACUAGAACUAGAAAUACGGUUUUUUUUUUUAAAAGGAUAGUUGUCAGAUUUCAGAUACAUUUUAUCAGAUUUUCAAAUUUGAUAACCCUUACAAAAAUCAAAUUUUACAAUCCAAUAUUAAAAAAAAAUUACAUUUAACUAUAUUUUAAAAUUUGGUAAAAAAAUCAUGUAUAAAUAUAUUUUAAAAUUCAGUAAAAAAAAUUAAACAUAACUAAAUUUCAAAAUUUGGUAAAAAAAAAAAUACUUUUUAAAAUUUAGUAGAAAAAAAUUGACACUUGUUAUAAUAAAUAAAGUUCGAAUUUCACCAAGCCAUCCAAAAAAUUAGACUUAAACGAGUUAUUGGUAUAUACGACUAUUUAACAGCCAUCACUUAACUAAAGAUAAAAAUUAAAUUAAUAAUUACAACUAAUCAUCAUCUUCUGAGGAAUUUCACAAUUUUUAAAAAUAUUUAAAUAAAUUAAAUUUAUAUUUAUCUCAUCUAAAAUCAUUUCUUAAUAUUGAUAAUUUUUUUUAAUCAAACUUGAUUGAUGCUAUUUUUAAUUAAAAUUUAUUUAAAAAAUCUAAUAAAAAAAUUCAACUAAUUUUAAAAAACCUUAAUUCUCAUUUGAAUAAUAUUCCAGACAUUAUUUAAGAAAACUUUAAUUCAUAUACAGCAAAAAUGAUAGUAUUUUAUAAUAAUAAUAAUAAAAAUAAUCUUAAUAAUAUAAAUAAUAUUUCUUUUAACAUCAAUAAUGAAAUUUUAAUCAAUAUUCAUAAAGAAAAAUGAUCUACCGAUUUUAUAUAAAAAUCUUAACUAACAUGAGAAGUAAUUUCAAUAUAAAAUAAAUAAAUAAACGUAAUUGAUAUUAAAAAGUUAUAACAUUUUAAAUUAACCUAAAACAACAGUUAUCAUAAAUUAUAAAACAAGUUUGUUUGAAUUUAGUUGAAAAAUACAUUUAAAUAGAGAUGUCACUGUUCACCUUAUGUGCUAUGAUGCUCUCGAGACAAUUGUUCAUCUGUUUUCAUUUUUUUUUUUAUUUGAUAUCCAAAUUCGAUUAAGUGUGAGAUAAUUUUUGUUUAUAAGAUUUCAAAGUUUGAUUAAAUGCAAAUUUUUUUAUUUACCUAAUUUCGAAAUUUGAGAUUGUGUAUAUUUUUUUUUAUCGAAUUUUGAAACAGAGUUAUGUAUGAAUUAUUUUUUCUUAUCCAUUUUGAUAUCCGAUUUAAUGUAAAUCUAUGAUUUUUUUUUUUAUUUACUAGAUUUGAAAAUAUGAUAGUUUAGUUGUAGUUUGAGUUUUGAAAUCCAACAACUACACUUCUAAAAAAAUUAACUGAAUUUCUUGUUUCAAUUCUUAUCCCAUCUUCCAAAUUUUUUGAUCUGGUUAAUUAUCUCAUAUUAUAUUAUCCAAGAUUGCUAUUAUGAAAUGAAUAAAAUGAAAAAAAAAAGGAAAAAGUUUAGAAGUACAAGAAGAAAACCUAGGAUUGGAAGAAAUGCCCUAAGUUUGUCUUUACUAAUUGCCUGACUUCCUAAAGAAGUGUAAGGCUAGAAGAAGGGAUUUCUUUCUACACCUCACUUUCAUUCACUUAUCUAUCCCUUAUUACAAAAGUUUAUACUCCAUAUUUUCUUCCAAAUUUACAUUACGAAUCUUCUUAUCUUUUAGAUUUACAUUAUAAAUUAUAGAAUUCAAAAUGUAAAUUUGUAUUAUAAACUAUCAAAAUUAUAUUUUAUAUUUUAAUUGUCUUUUAAAUUUGUAUUAUGAAUUAUACAAUAUUUAAUGUUAAAUUAUAUUACAGUUUGUGAAAUGUAUUUUAUAUUACAAAUUGCUUUUCAAAUUUGCAUUAAUUCAAAAUAUAAAUUUGUAUUAUAGAUUGUAUAAUACAUAAUAUAAUUUAUAUUUUUCAAAUUUGUAUUACAUAUUAUACAAUCUAAAAUGUAAAUUUACAUUAUGAAAUUAAUUUGCAUGUCAGAAUAUCUUUCAGAUUUAUAUUAUGGAUUGUAUAAUCAAAAUAUAAUUUACUUCUAAAUUAUGUUUCAUAUUUGAAUUAUAAAUUGUACUAAUACAAAAAUAAUAUUUUAUGACGUACAAAAACGAUUUAUGAUAUACAUAAUUUUGUAUAUUAUAAUAGGUUAGUUUCUAUGACUCGAAUGACGUUUAACCGUUUCAGAAUAUUUUGAAAAUAAAAUCUCUUUUAAUCCAUUUCUUCUAUACUAUAAAUAUUUAAAGAAUGGUCAGCUUUAUUCAUUUUCUCCAUCACCGUCUUCAAAAAAAUGACAAAUUCUCGAUUGUUAUUGCUGGACUUUGGAUUCGCAGUUUCAAUUACAUAUGACAAAUUUAAAUUUAAAUUUCUGUCGGUUGCAACAGUUACCUUGCAAAAGUUUAAAUUUCUCCUACGGUCUUAUACCAACUAUAUUCUUAUGAUGUUUUAUCGUGAUAUUAUUUCAUAUUUAGUACUAUAGUGUAUGAUUCUGUAUGUUAAAUUUGGAGUAGUGUAAAGUGUAUAAAGGUGUAAAAAUUACUGUGUAUUGUGUUGGAAAAGUGAGGAAUAUGGAGUUAUGCCAUACGUAAAAUACCAAAAAAUUAUUACAAGAAACAAACAAGUGUGAUUUGAACAGAGAUGAGCAGAGAAAUAUAAAUGAAUAAAACAGGAAAAGAAAAAUUCCCAUUAACCUUUUCUCCCUCAAUCUUCUUUUGGAUGGAAUAUAUUCUCCAUGAACGUAACUACAGUGCACUCUGCUUUACUAGAUCAUUCAAGAUAGGAUCAUUAUUGAAUUGGGUAUAAUAACUGUAGUUACAACUUUUUGCAACAAAACAAACUAUAUAUAGUAUACUUCCAUUAUUUUUCUUCUUUUCUUCACUUCACUAAUGCUGUCUCCAACUUCUUCAACCUUGUUUGCCUUUUGGAAACAAAACCUAAACAACAAACUAAUUAAGGCAAGAGAAGGGAUGUAUACUAUUUGUUUUCUCGCAUGAUAUGCAAAUAAAGGACAAGAACUAAAAUUUAUUCUAAUAAAAUUUAUUAUUUAUUAAACAUAGUGUAUUACUCAUUAGCAGAUUAUUCACUAAUAUAUAAUCUCUUGUAUAAAGAUGUAUAUAAUCAAAAUAAGAAAUGUGACCAAAAUAAAAAAUGCUUUGAAAAUUUCACAUUAAUUUUAUAGUAAUUUUUUUUAUCUAGAUUAAGGAUAAUAUUGUUUCUACGUAAUAUGAUUUUAUAGAGAUUUUUUAGGUUAUUAUUAUUUAUUUAUUCGACAAAUAUUAAGAUAUAUUUUAUUUUAGAAAUUAUAUAAUUCAUUAUACUUCUUUAAUAGAGAUAGAUAGAUAGAUUUUAAUUAUAUUGCAUAAAAACCAACGGCCCUAAGUACAUAUAUUAUGGAAUUACAAAAUUUUGCAUAACAAUUCAUAUUUUUUUACUUUUAAUUAUUUUAUAGAGUAAAUUAAAAAAAAAAGAGGCUUAUUUUGAUUGAAGGAUUCCUAACCUUGUUACCACUGUAAGUUUAUGAUUUAUUUAUAGUAACUUAAUUCUCUUUCAAUCACAAUAUUACUCUUAACGAGUCGUUUUACAUUAUAACAUUAAUUAUAGUUCAAAUUUUAGAAAGAAAAAAAUCUUUCUUUCUUCCAGAACAUUUUUAAUUAAAAAAGUUUAAAGUAAGAAAUACAACCCUAUUUAAAUACAAACCUGGAACCAUUUCUUUUACAGGGUUUAAUGUUGAUGAAGUAGGGGUUGAAUAAUGAAAGAGCUUCCCAUAUCCAUGGAAGGAACAAAUUACGUAAGCAAUAUUUUCUCGACAAUGGUCACACCAAACAAAUGGUUGUGGGCAACAACAAUAAUUAUCCAAUAAGGAAAUGAUGUAUGCAAUAGCAUGUAUUUUAUUUUGGAUACUAUUACUUUUACACUUAAACAAAUUUUUACACACAUUUUAUAUUUAUUAUUUUAUCUUUUAAUAUAUAUUUUUUUACAAUUAUAAAAAUUAGCUUAUUCAAUUACUAAAAUACUUUAAAAGUGGAUUGUGAAAUGAUGAAAAAAGAAAAACAAUUUGGUUUUAUUUGUGUUACGAGAUGUAAUAGUCUCUUUAAAGACACACUAACACAAGUUUGAGUCCAACUACAUUAAUUUGUUUUCUCCUUAGGACCACUGAUUCCAACACAAUCAAUUUGUCCCUGUUUCCCUUCAGAACGUGGGUCCAACUUUAUCCCCUCCUCUUAUUUCGGUGCAUUCCAUGGCCCAUAACAAAACCCUAUUCUAUUCACCUCAACCCUUUCCAUUUUAGACAAUUAACCUUAUUUAUUUAUAUAGAAAAAACUUCUUUUAAUAAUAUUUUAUUAAUAAUUUUUUUACAAUACGUCAAUUUAUGAUUGAUCUAUUUUAAAUAUCUUUUAAAUAUAAAUUUAAAUAGAUCAAUAAAAUAAUAACAAGUAUUCUCCUUAUAAAAAAAAUUGUCAAAUCAUUAUCCUUGUUUAUACUCACAAAUUUAACACAUUUCUACUUCUAAAAUCACUUCGCUACUCAAUCCAAUGGAAAAAGUUCCCACCAACUUAUAUUGCAUGUUCAGUUAAAGUUAUUUUGCGAUGAUAAGCAAGCGCAGAUCUGAGAAGAUUGAUUAUCUUGUUUGUUUUAAUCCAAGGAGGAAUUCUCUUAAAUUUACUGAGAUAACAUCCCUAAAUUCAUGGACGUGACCUCAUUGAAUGCCCCCUUAUAGAAUUUUGUCCCUAAUACAUUGAUGAGGGACAUGUGUUUCCAUGUUGCGGUGUGAGACUUGGCACGAAACUUUCGGACUAUUUCAGUUCCAUAGUCGGCCAUUAAUUUCCAUGAAGGUCCACAGCUUCACCUAACCAGACAACACUAAGCCUACUUUGCUCCCUAUAUAUUGUACCCUCAUAUCAUACACAAACAUUUUAUAAAAAUUAAAUAAUUCAUAUAUAUAUAUAUAUAUAUAUAUAUAUAUAUAUAUUGCUAUAGUUCUUUUAGCUGGUUUCUAUUCUAUCCUCCCUCCCUGAGAAGCAGUUUCAAGGUCUCAGAAAGAAUUUUCCUAGUCUCUCCAAUUUUAUUUCAUUGAAUAAAAGUAGUACUAUUGCUUCAUGUUGUCUCAUUUAUUGCUACAUGCCACCAAAAGCCUAACGCAAAUAUCAUUCCCAACAGCCAAAUCUUGAAGCACAUGACACUGCAUUUACUCCCUCAAUGUUUCCGCACACACCGCCCUCGUUUUUCAUAGUUCCUUCCUACACUACCGUUUCCACGCUUUCACACAUUCUUCACAAGCAACCCACUCUUGCCACUUCAGUCACCCCAUCAAUUCCUUCAUUUAUUAAGAAUGUCUGAAACUCAAACCAUCUUAUAGCAUUUCAUCCCCUCCAUUCAUUAUCCUCCCUUUUCUCUCUCUCUCUCUCUCUCUCUCUCUCUCUCUCUCUCUCUCUCUCUCUCUCUCAUUGUUCUAAAGGAAUUAAACUCCUUUAAUGGAUAGAAGAUAUCUCAACUUGGUCCUGGUCACGCUGAUGCUUUUGGUUGUUGGCCAUAGUUAUGGUUCUAGACACACGUACCAAGUUUUCAAAGUGCAGCCCAAGGGUGAGACCUUGCCUCCAAACUUCUUUGGUUUCUUGCCAAAAGCAAUGCCAAUCCCUCCUUCAGGACCAUCUAGGAAGCACAACGACAUUGGAUUACAAAGCUCAACGCGGAAACCAUAGAGGGACAUGUAUUUUAUGUGUUCCUUCUUUACCAUUCCAGAAAAUUUAAGGGUAAUGUAUAAGAUAUGAUGCCUUAAUUAUUUAUAUUUUGCUCUUACCCUCUUUGGUUUACUUCCCUCCUUUGUUGCUACUACUUUUUAGAUCAUUUUCAAGGACAAGACAGUUUCAAAAUGAACUGUUAAAGUAUAUAUAUGUAGAUUAAUUAGGUGAUUAUUACCACCUUCUCCACAUAUGUAUGUAUAUCUGGGCAAGCUUUAGCUAUUUUCAUAUACUUUGUGAUAGAAUAGAUCCUUUGAGGGUUCAAAGCAAGAAAUGUUUUGUGGUUUGGCUUGUACUUGAAAGCAAAGAGAAAAAAAGGUGGCAAACCUUGCAAAGUUGAUGUGUGUCUACUUCUGCUUCUGUUUCUUUCAAGUAAGCUUUUGGUUUGGUAUAAACGCAUGCAAGCUGGCAUUAUUCUUCCUCUGGGGGAAAGAAAAGUGGAACUUUCAACUAAUAUUGUUUUUGAAGGAUUCAGUGAAUGGAUAUGUACGUCGACACGUAUCAUGUCUGUUAUUAGAUUAAUUAAGAGUUGGAAAAGAAGUUGCAUCUUUUUGAUUCCUGUGGCUUCUAAACUCUGCUUCUGUUCUUCUAAACUUGGAAGUUUCUUUGAAUCAUUCUGGAGUUUCAGUGCGUGCAAAACUCAUAACUACUGUAGCUAGGAGUGACCAUACAUUCUCAUAGACUUUAGGGAAGUGACGUGAGAAUCGUGUCCAUUUUUUGCGUUUUGAUUUGGCUUUAGUUAGUAGCUAAUAAAUGUUCGUACAUUUCUUAGCCACCCUACACUAUACACUGCACCCCCUGCAGCUUCAAAAUUCAACGUGUGAUUUGUGUCAUUCUGGAUAAUUAAAAGUGAUCGAUGACUUAAAGUUUGAUUUUGUUUAUAAUUGCAAAGUUUAUUUGUUAAAAGUUUCAUAAUGUUGUGUGGUGAAAGUUUUAGGAUCUUGGAAAAAUUGUACGAUGAUUAAUAUGAUGAUGGGAUUGUAGAGAAUGAAGGUUAUUAUGUCUAAGUUGGUGUGGAUAACAUAAAAAAAGUCUUAAUUGCAACUAUAUGGGACAAAACAAAAUAUUCCACAUGUUAGAUUUAAGAAAAAAUUGAUCUUGAUGAGUUGUUUUGUUGGGUUUUUCAGUUAAAAGCCAAUUGAAAAGAAAUUAGUUCCAUAAAAUGUUAAUUGUGUUGGGUGGGUAAGCUGUUUCAAAUCAUGUCAAAUCAUCAUAUCGUGAUUUCAGACCUAGCUUUGAAGCCAUGUGAAAGCCAUUAUUAAUAAGGAUGGCUAGUCAAAUUUUGAACUUUGUCUUAAUAAGGAAAUUAUAUCGACUUUUUCUUCAGCCUUUUAAGGAAAAUUCUUUAACAAUCUCCUUAUUAAUUAAAUACAACCAUAAGAGAAAAUAUGUAUUUUUUUUUAAAUAAACCACUUUAUGUAUCCCAGAAAAGAAUUGUCCCAGUAAUUUAAAUAUUAUAAAAAUUAUGUAAAUAUGUUUCUAAAGUUUGUUAACAUAAGUUAAACGAUCGAGAUAGAAAUCCCAAAACAAAAACAAAAUAAGAAUAAUUUAAUAAAUUUGCUUUAAAAGUUAUUUUUAUGUUAACGUUAAAAAUGAGUCUCACAAUCUUAUUAUUUUCUCUGCUUCAAGUUUGUAUAUGUUAGUUAAUUUUUUUUAAUAGUCUGUUCUUUAUUAUUGACAUUUAAAAAAAUUAUUAAAAUUAACUCUUUUUAAUAGAAUUUUAAUACUUUUUAAAAUCCCGUUUUCUUAAAUUUUUUUUACCCGACUUAUUCUAAUGAGAAGUCCAACAUAAAAACAGACCAAACAUUAACGAAUAUAAUGUCUCAAACUAAAUUGCAGUUUUUUUUUAACGUAAAUUUAAUUAUGAAGUUAUUUGAGUAUAAUUUUGUUUAUUUUCCAAGGCAAUCGAAAAAUUAUUAUUGAUAUAAUUUUAAGAAAAUAUAUUAUCAAUAUCAGCAAACUUAUCAUAUAUGAUAGAUAAUUCGUUUUUAGAUUAUAUGCUAAAAUUGUUUUAUAAUGCACAACUUAUUUCUUUAAAAGAAAUUCUUUUAUCAAAAUUAUUAAUGUCUAGAAAUUAAAACUUUUAACAUUCCUUGCGUGAUUAAUUAAGUGUUAAAAUAACAGUAAAAAUAUAAAACGACUCAUACUUCAAUUGUUUGAAUGUAAUUAAAUAAUUUUUCUGUGGGUUUAACGAUGACUAUCUUUCUCAUAUUUCAGCUACCUUGGUAUGAAUUAAUGUGGUAUAAAUCGAAUUUAUUAUUUUAAAAUUUAUAUUCAAUCAUUUAAUUUAUCAAAUUAUUGGAUUCGUGUUGUUUAGAUUAGGAGUUAAUUCAGUGAAAUUUUUAGAAUACAAAUUUAUAUUAAAUUAAAUUUUCAAUAAAAAAUUUAUUUUUAUUUUAAAUGAUUAUUAUCAUAAUAGACUAUAAUUUUAUAUAAAUUACUAUUAAUUAAAUUUUAACAAGAUAAUUGCAUAUUAAAAAUAAAAUUUAAAAUUUAAAUGUUUAUAAAUUUAUAAUUAAAAUAUAAAUUUAAGUAUCUAUGAAAUUUCAAACGGUUACCUACAAUAAUGAUUUAUUUUACUUAACUUUAUUUAUUCAAGAUUACCUUAAUUACAUGUUUAUACAAUCCAUUAUAAUUAUGUAUUCAAAUUUCCUUCAUAUUUCUUCAGUUUCAGUUGGAUAUGAAAUUUUUCUCAGCCCUAGUAACUUGCAGUGAAAAGCGAAAGGGGUGACUUUUGCACCUUUAAACGUGUGUGUUAAGCAACUUAAAAAUAAGAAAAUGAUAAUAAUAAUAAUAUAAAUAUAAGAUUUGACAUAUAUAAACCAAAUUGAGAUUUGUUUUUUUACGUAUUUAAGCGUGAGUUGAAACUUUACAUUAUAUUGAAAUAAAUAAAAUAAAAUAACAUAUAAAUAAAAAACCAUCACAAAUUUGUUAUCUUUAAGAUUUUAUAUAUUAAUAAAUAUAUUUCCAGUUUCCCUUUGAAUAUAUAUACAUAUGAUAAACUUAAUUUUUGUUGUAUUAAUUAAAACAAUGGCUCAGUUAAAUACACUUAUAAUUGUACUUUUCAAAAAUAGAAGAGUGAUAAAACAAGAUAUUACUUUUCAAGUCAAGAUUACAAAUUUGCUUAAUUGCUCAACUAAACUAAUCUAUACUUUUUAAUAUUCAAACUACAGAUAAUACAUAAAAUUUUAUUAAAUAAAUAUAAAAAUACAACUUCAUAAUAUGAAAUAUAAAAUAAAGUAUUAUUUUUAGUUUUUUUUUUUUUAAUUCAAAGAAUAAAUACAAAUAUAAAUCGAAUAUGUCAUAGUAGUCAUGUUUAAAUUUUAAUACAAUACAACAAUGCCCAUUAACCAAUAACCAUAUUACAUCUAAAAAUUGAAGAAUUAAUAUAAACACAGAUAUAACAAAGUUUAUAAGUAUGACAUAGAAUUUAAAUUCAAAACCAUUAUUUAAGUUAAAACAACUUUGACCCAUUGAUCUAUUCAUACGAUCCUAAUCACAACCUUAAAGAAAAAUAAAACCAAGUUUUGCAAUGUCAUAAAAUCUGGUUUUCUUUGGGUAGUUUUACUUUCUUGACAUACUGAUCAUGCAUAUUGAAAACAUGAACUAAGAUGACACAUAUCUACCCUAUUUUUAAUUACUUUAUACUUUAUAUAUCCCUAAUUUUCAGAUUCUUCGUAUCUAUUUAUUUGAAUCCACCAUACACCUAACCAUGAAAUGAAACCUAAUAAAGUCAAGAAUCUUGUUGACCGUCAUUGAACUAAUAAGUUGACUUCAUUCAUGAUUCAUAAAAGUGUCUCUUGUUCAUUAUAACAACCUCUUUUCUGAAUUUCAUGCAAAUCAAUGACAAAAUAUAUGAUAAUAUCAAACUAGAAAAGUUUUGUAGUGUUGUUAAUGUCUUUAUUAGGUAGUUCUUUUUAUGUUCAGUGUUUUGGCUUCCAAUCAGAACGUUUCUACCUGGUGAAUGAAUAAUGUAACUUAGUUUAUUCUGUAUGAAUUGGAGGUGUAGUUAGUAAGGCAAUGUUCCAAACAGAGGAGACAAACAACAUACGAUUCUCCAAAGAUUUCAUAUAGCUAUGAACGAUGAAUAAGGAAAUUAUAUUUGUUGUCAGAAGAGGAUUUCACACUCAUCUAGUCAUAGGGUGUACGUGUUUAUAGUUUUUCUUUCCCGAAAUUAAAUCUAUUUGGAUGGAUUUAAUUAUACUGUGCUGAUGGAAUAAAAAGAUCAUUAAGAUUGUCAUUAAAUUAUUUAUUAUUAAAUAUGAUUAGAUUUGAAUUUGUUGAUUUUUAUAAUAAUUAUUUUAAACUUAGUAUUUAGCAGCCUUUAAUUAAUUGAUAAUAUAAUUAUUAUACUUAUUCAGCGUGAAAAUUAACUUACAUUAACCAGGAAAUAUUUUUUUGUGACAAGUAAUUGUGCAACAGAGUACAAAAUGUACUCCCUGUAGAAAAAAUUAAAUAAUAAUUUACAAGAAAUAUGAGCACGCAUACAUUUUAUUCCUGAGGUAUACAUGUUGAGGUAAGAAAAAAGGUGCAACAGGGAGAAAAUAACCAAGAAAAUAGGAAGGUUAUCUGAACUGAUGAUUUUAUAUACACUACAAUACACUGAUAUAUGUGAAGGGCACUUGCCCUAAUAAAAUGGAAGACAUAUUUCACUUGAGAGGGAACAAAAAGAUUUGAAGAGACAAUGGUUUGAUUCCUACAAACCUCACUGUAACAAAAAGUGUUAAUGGAGAACUUCCCUCCAUCUACUUCCCUAAGAUUAUAAAACAGGUGAACCACCACCAUCUGCCUUACGUGCCCCUUGGCCGGAAGAUUUGUCGCUGCUUCGAACGUUGUACCUCUCGUAUACCCUAUCACGGUUCUCCGACCACCAAGUCUCAGCUUGGUGCUCACCGAAUCUUCGCCGGCUGUACACAUGCACCACCAAACAUGUUUAGACAUAUGCAAGUUAAUCAAAACUUCCUAUGCUAGUGUUACGAGAGCCAGAAAUCAGCCUAACAAAUAACUAUCUUGAGCUAGUUAAAGAUUUUGGACCACAGAGAAUUAUUUACAAAGUCUUUGAAUCCAAAGCACCAUAUUGAAAAUUAUCACUGGUAUACUAUUGGAGGCUGGCUGCCUACACUUGGAAGUCAUAAACAUAACCAGGAAAUAAAGAGAAUUGUUUCUAUUACCUGAACCGCACUCGUUUCAGAUCUCUUGUUCCAUCACGCAGGGCAACAAGAGUUAUAUAGACACCAGGUUCGUAUUGUUCAAUCCAUUCUGCCUCAACUUGACUACUAUUAGCAGGUAUUAUGGCAUUCCUUGAUCUCAAACCACUCUCAUCAUCUUGAAAAUUUCCAGAAUCCCUACCAUCAACAGUAUCUGAUGCAGUACUACCACUUGUCUGGAUCACGCUGCUGCUGCCGUUUGGCAAUUUAACAUCUGGGUACUCAUCUGUCCCAUUAGGGAUUACAGAUCCCCGAUUUUGCUGGUAAAGAUUAGCUCCAUAGUUUCCGGUCAGAGUGCCUUCGAUUCUGCUCGGCAGGGAUGAUUCAAUUCCAAUGGAAGCCAAACUAGAGCCACUGAUUGACUCGGCCCUGGUGUGACGCUCCCCAUUUAUUUCUGGAUAGUGAAUUCCAUUUGGCUCCAGACCAUUUGGCAGGUAAGCUGGUCUGAUAUUCUCCGCAUCAUAAGCGCCAGGGGGAAGCCUCUCAGCCAGAUCUUUGAGCUGAAAGUGAAACAAUGUGGCAGAUUAAUAAGCAUGAGUGUGGAAAAGUAAUAGCUCCAAGAGAAGUAAAUUAACCUGUGCUGUAAGUGACUUUAUAACUUCCUUUGCAGCCUUAGCUUUGGCAGAUUCCUCGGCAGCCAGAGCCAUAGCCUCCUGAGUCUUUUUUGAUGACCUUUGAAGCUCUAAUUCUUGCAUUUCACAUCUCUGUCUCAGGGUCUCAACCUAACAAAAAUUAUGUCAGAAUUAUCUUGAUACCAUAACAAGUAAAUAUCAAAGCAGCUAAGUUGUACUUGAUUGGGAUGAGAAAAAUAGGGGAAGAAUAAUAUACCUGAGCACGUAACUUUAAUACUUCCUGAUUCAAAAGCUCAUUUGUUUUCUUCAAACUAUCAGCAAUACUUUUUGAGAAGGAAAGCCCCGAUGUUGUUGGAAUAGGUGUAGCUGAACGAGGGGGGCUUGGUCUUCUAGAGAAUGGAGACACAGACCUGGAACUCACUCCAGAUGGCGUCAGCACAGGUCUUGGAGCUGUUCGCUUCAAAUCAACAGCUGUAGACAGGACAACAUCUUUAAGCUGUAGCAAAGAUUGUGGUUGUGGGUUGCGAACCAGAGAGAAUGUAUCAGCCUUCUUCCCCUGUUUGGCUGCCUUGCUAUCAAGCUGCUUUAUCAAAUCCAUAUUAGAAGGGACAGCUGUCUUGGUUAAUCUUAGGUCAGACUUCUCUAAUCUGUCCUUGUUUUCACCUGACAAACGAGGCAGAGCGUUCCUUCGAUUAUUAUUGCCUGAUUCAGAAACCUUGUUCAAUUUUACAAAACAUGAAUCACAUACGCGAUAUGGCUUUCCAGGAUUUGGAGCCAGUGCAGCUCUUAAUGCUUUCCGAGAACUACAUGAAUGACAGUGCACUAGCCCACAAUUAUAACAGUUGUGCCUCUUUCUAGUGAAUCCAAACGCUUGUCUACAAGCAGAGCACUGAGACUGCUCAGCACCGGAUACCCACUUAUGAAGGCAUAUGGCUGCAGAGUAGUUUGAACCACAAGCAAUAUAUUUCACAUGUCUAUCUUUCAAGGCUUCAACCAAGGUUGGUGUUUUUCUAUCUUCAACAUCUCCAUGACCCAAUCUCCCAUUUGCUCCCUUUCCCCAAGUGUAAACCUCAUUUUUGCACGUUAAAACAGCAACAUGAUAAGCCCCGCAUGCAAUUUCUUCAACAGAUUCUCCUGCAAGCUUGUCUUCAACCAAACAUGGCAGCUUUCCAUCCGACUGGGGAUUCCCAAGCUGACCAUAAACCGUGCUUCCCAUUGUAAAAACUUGACCGGAUGUUGUCAGCCCUACUGUCAAACUGUGCCCACAAGCAAUUCUAUGAAAAUUGUAAUCAAUAAGUGAAGGUACGCAAGUUGGUUCAAGCCGAGCAUCCUUGUCUCCAUGUCCAAGACGGUUUUUAUCUCCAUCACCCCAAGUAAACAAUUUACCUGACGAUACACUAGCACUUGAUUGAGUCACAAUAACCUCUACAACAGCUGCAGUAUGCCACACUCCACAUGCAACAGCUAUUGUCCUCAACCCAGACAAGGAUUCUACUUCUCUUGGAUACGGAACAUUUUCCCUAUCUCCAUGGCCGAGGACACCAAAUGUUCCAUCCCCAAAUGUAAAGAGCUGACCAGUUGAGGUUAUCAAGGCUGUAUGCCAUGGACCACAAGUGACUAACGCAACUUGAAGCCCCUCUAGCGGACCUGCAAUUCUCUUUGGUAUCCAAUGACUAACAUCAGUACCAUGACCAAGAAGCCCAGCAUUAUGAGUACCAUCACCCCAUGUAUACAGUUCCCCAAACAUCGUAACAGCACAGGUAUGGAACUCCCCACAGGCAACAAAAUCAACAGUUGCAGAAGUCAUGGCGUCAACUAGACGAGGUUGAAUCACAUUCUUCCCAACACCAUGGCCAAGGCGUCCACCAGAUUCUUCACCCCAUGUGAAAAGUUCACCCUGCCUUGUGACUAGAGCAGCAUGUUUAACACCACAUGAUAUUUGAAGCACAUCUAAAACCACAUUCGACUCCAGUGGCCUGGGGAGGAGAAUAUCUGUUCUUGGACUGAAAUAACUAGCACUUUUAUCAGCUCCAACUUUUACAACAUUCUCACAGAUAACCUCCCCCCAUAUGUAUACAUCCCCAAGAGCAUCAUAAUCGUCAGGUGCAGACCCAUGACUAGAUGUGCUGGGGGCACUUGAGACACUAACACGAAAAACAUCUGAACUAGAUCCUUUCACUUGCAUAUUUGAUGGGUUUGAUGGUGCAUGUGACCUAUCAAAAUUUACAGUAUUUUCAGAGUGAAAGGAUUGUGGAGAAGUAUUUGCCAGACUAACAGAAAUGUCAGGAGAACUGAUGUCUCGUGAAGCACUAACUGAACUUUCACUUGGACUAUUUGAUGUCAAGUCUCUGCCGUCCUGAAAGAAAUUAAUUGAGCCAGAAAGAAUUAUACGAAACUGUCCAUGUAUUUUACUAAUGAAGCUAUUAUACAGUAUAAUAGUAAUAAUAAUAGUAUUUGGAAAAAUAGAGACAAUUUGGAAAACUUAUAUUCAGUCCAUGAUUCCCAAAAAUACCAUAAUCAACAAAUCCUAAAUUGUGUCCAAAGAAGAACAAAGGCGAAUAACACUUUGUUUCAGAAAACUGCGGAAUAAUCUUUCCAGGAUAAGAGCUAAUCCUUAAAAUCAAGAUAAACCUUCCUCAGAGGAAACACUUGUACUCUUUUAAUGAAGCAGAAAACCAAUGAGCUCCCCUUACCAUAAUUCAUCCAAAAUAUUCAUUUCAAUGAAAAUGAUGAACACACCACUACUGGAUCAAGAGUAAGAUCAAUGAUCUCUUUUCUUUCUCAGUAUAUAUCAUAGAACAAGAAACAUGACACGAGUAAAAUGACAGUUACAAAGACAACAAGAAGGUAUUUUUACAUCAAGAUAGAGGCCUCCAUCACUCCAUCCAUCAAUUUUGGAACGCCCACCUUGACCUGAAGAUAUCAGUGCCUUGAGACCAGUAAUCCACACUUCUGCCUCAACUUUAUCCUUGCAAAUCUGAAACGCAACAUAAAGCAUUUUUAUAACAAUGAUAAAUGCAGAAAAUAGAAAUAAAACAAUGGUGUAGUCAUCCAAGAAACUUCAAAAUUCAUCACCAACCAGAUCAAGGGACCGCUUCCCGUUGUUGUAAAUAAGUGAAAAAGAAAGAUACUCCUUCUCAGGACGCAGAUAUCUUUGGAAAACAGCCUGACAGAAGAGAAGGCAAAUUAAUAACAUAGAAGAGGAGAAACAGUUUAUAUAUCAGUUUCUUUCGGGAUAUCAUUGAGUUAAUAAAGAAGAACGCUGUGCCAUCAUCAGAAAGAUAUAAAACUGUACUGUAGAAAUCUCACAGUUCUUUGUCCAGGAAUAAUUCUUGAGACAGAAGAUAGUUUCAGAUUUCUUUCUCCACUGCUUGAUAUCCAGAUUAAAGACAAUUCAUCCUGUGGUUUACAGAUAUUUGAAUAAGUGUAACUAGAAAUAACUCAAAUUAGUGUCAAAACCAAGCCUACUAUAUACAUGUCUGUUAAGCUUAUAGUCUACAAAGUACAGCCAAGGAGCCAACAGAAAAUAGGCCUUCUUAUUAACAAUCAUGAAUAUGACAGUAAUAGCAUGCAUCACACAAAGAGACGUAAGUCCAAUAACAAAGCUACAAAUCACUGUUGGUUGGUAAUUAGCACCAGAGUGAGAAAAUGAUACCACUUGGGUAACAAGCAGUAAAUCUGAGCCAAAUCAGACAAAAAGAUUUGAGCUUUUAUUCACGUCCAGUUAACUACUGAUCACCUCAACUGGUUAUACCAAACCCAGAGUGCGGAAACAAAAACCAACAAACUGCACUGGACCACAUAAACUCUUGAACUCAUUGCUUUAGAAACUAAAAGGACUGUGCUAAAUUACUAAAUUGUGGACAUAGAAAUAGAAUUGAAAAAUAAUAAUAAUAAUAAUAAUAACAACAACAAUGAUGACCUGCAACCUUCCCCUGAGAAUGAACCAAAGAAUCCUCUGGAUUCAGGAAAGUGUGUAGUUUGGCCAAUCAAACCAUUUUAUAUGACAUACUAGAAGGCAUCAUAUUGAACCAUCUAAUUAUGAUGCAGUCAAACACAGCUAGCACAUAGUACCAAUGAAAAGAAAGGAAAGAAAUGGACAUGAAGAGAUUAAGAGCAAGCCCUAUAGGAAUACUUCGUCAGAGAUUACAAAUAGUUAACGUAGAAACACAAAACACCACAGUAUGACAAACUUUUCCAAUAGAAGAAUAGUGUCUUGUUUGGCCCACCAACAUUUGAUAUCGUUGGUACAACACUUCCCCUAUUGUAGGUUGUGGGGCAGCUACAUGUAUCAAUGAAUGUAAUCAUAACCAAAAUUUUCAAAUACAACAUUUCUAGUAAGCAGGGCAAAUAAAAAUAGCUUGACUGUAUAAUAACAGUUCUGAUAAGUAUUACAAGUACAAAUUAGCAGGCUUUCGGUACAAUAUUUUUCAUAUAACAUCAGCUACCAUGCCAAAGCCCCUAUCUUUCAUAGAGUAAUUUGAAUUGAGCAUAUUAACAGUUUAGUACAGUGCAAUCCAGAAAGUUAAUGAAGCAAGAAAAUUAGAGAAUUCACUAACACUUUCCUGAAAUGAUUUCAUUUGACUUACAUUGGAAAGUCUAAACGGACAAAACUUAGGCCUUCCCUUACGACCAUAUUUAAGUAGUUGAGCACCCUUUUUCAAAACAAUCAAUGCCUGCAGAAUGAAAAGGUAAAAGAUUGAACAUACAAACAAUUAUUUACAUAAAAAAUACAAAAACUUUGGAGAAAUGAGAAAUAACAACGAUCAAGGCCAUCUUGUUGCAUAAAUGUUGUGAAAGUUUCUUAAAAUCUCCAGCAACGAUUUACAACAUUAGGUUUCUCCAAGAAACAACUCUUUCAGCCUUCUUAAUACUUUAACCCAGAUUGAUGGUUUGAAAAUAUUGUACAGACCACAGACUUAUCUGGGACCACUAUCAUUAUUGUCCAGGCAAACAACAAUAAUCGGGUGCUCAAUUUCACUAGUCAAACUCUAAUUUAGGCAUAUUCCAUGUCGUUACUACAACCAAUACAACAACACUGACGCAAGCUUCGAUAUCCCAUAUCAAACUAUCCAAAACAUUUUCAUAAGGUGCUGAAUCAAACUUUUAUCAUUAAAACAUCUACCCUAUUGGCACUUACCUCCUAUUGGUGUUAACAACCUAAACCAAGUCCGCCACAAUACCCCGCGUCUCAUAUGUUAAUUCGAACACAGACAAGCAUCCCUUAUCUUUCCUCUUCAAGACACUCAUAUUCCACGGCAGUUGAAAAAGCAACAGAUCACUAAUCAACCAAAUUCCACUUAACCUUUUCAAAAGGAUCACAGACCCAAUUCACAACAAUAACAGUAUAAAAUAUCUAAUUAAAAUCUCAUCCUAAUUCCAGCACCCCCCAUAACAAAAUAGUCUAUACAUAAAUUCCAUCACCAUGUCUUCACUCCUGCACCGUCACCUCUCACUAUUUCCCAAUCACUUUCAACAAAGAAACACACGCGCGCGCGCACCUGAUCACAAUCAUCACAUUCCCCCAAAAACAGAAACCUUAAAAAAAAAAAAACAGUUCCAAAAUUCUACCAAACAUUUAAAGCAAGAAUCAAACUUUAACUCAAAAAACAAAAUUUUGAUAAUAAACAAGUAACUGACUUGGUCGAUGUCACGGUCGGCAUUCCUGUAGCUAACAAGAUCUGCCAUUCCAUGUGAGAGAUUCACCGAAACGCCACCACCCUCUGCGAUCGCUGCACAAAGUUCCGUACAUCAUAAACCUCGACCUCAGUCUCUCGCUUUCUCUCUCUUCACUUUCUCUGAAAAUAAAAACCCACUUCUUAUUCCCACUCAAAAUGCAAAAAAACCUUCGCGGAUCUAUUCCUUUUCACAGAACCCGAAACCCCGUUAGCCCCAUUCGCAGUUCCAAGUCAAAGACGCAAACUUUUCAACUCAUGCAAAGACUUGGACCGGGUGAGGAAACAAAACGGAUUCGACCAACCCGGUUCAGUUGGAACAUGAGAAGGGGGUGUUUCUUGGAGCCUGAAGAUAAUCUCCGGCGAAGAAUGCGGGUU